rnacentral:lncRNA from 1 species
GCACAGCCUGGGUGGAAAUGGAUGGACUGCGGAUCUCGCGCACCAGCUGAUCCUGAUCGUACAUGCCCGCUGGUGGGCAGCACGGAGCCGGGCGUUCCUGGCAGGUGGAGGCGGGGACCAGGGCACGGGGGAUGAAGAAUCCCAGGAGGGGCGGCCAUUGGAGCAGGGAUUGGGUGCACCUAGGAAUGCCUCCAAGUCGUGGGGUCGCGCGCUACUGAGCUCCCUUCCAUGCUGGGAUUUCACUGCCGUUUCUUAAGAUCUGUUCCAUAGUGGGCAUGACCCAGAAUCUGGCUGUUAGGAUCAUCUUGAGCAGAUCCAAAAUCCCGUUGGCUUCAGGUGAGUAGAACUGCAAGAAAUUUACACGCUAACAUGUUUAAAAUAGGUUCCAGGAUUGUAGAUAUAUAUCUAUAUCUAUAUAUCUAUAUCUAUAUCUAUAGAUAUCUAUAUCUAUAUCUAUCUAUCAUCUAUCUAUCUAUAGAUAUAGAUAUAUAUCCAAAAAAUAAUAAACAAAAUAUGUGUUUAUAUACAUAUAUAUGUAUAUAUACAUAUAUAUUUAAAUUUUUUCUACAACGAAUGUGUAUUCUUACAUAAUUAGGAAAAAUUAUUUAAAAACUGUGUACAGGAAAGAAAUGCUUUGUUACAUUUAAAUAUUGUGGAAUUGAGUUUGUAGGGUGUGCGGGGUCUGUUCUUUCCUUUUAAAAAGAAUAUAGUCACCAUGCUGUGCAUUCUAUGCCCAAGAUUUAUUUCGUAUACCUGGAAGUUUAUGCCUGGAAGUCUGACCAUCUUUACCCAUUUCACUCACCUUUGCCCCAGCCCUCACCUCUGGCAACCACCAAUCUGUUCUCUGUAUCUAUGAAUUUGGGGGUUUUACCCCUUGUUUUAGAUUCUCUAUGUAAAUGAGAUCAUAUAGUAUUUGUCUUUCUCUUAUUUCAUUAGCAUAAUGCCCUAAAGGUCCAUCCAUGUUGUCACAAAUGGCAGGAUUUCCUUCUUUUUUUAUGGCUGAAUAAUAUUCGUGUGUGUGUGUGUGUGUGUGUGUGUGUGUGUGUGUGUGUGUUUACCACAUUUUCUUUAUCCAUUUAUCCAUCAUUGGGCACUUAGGUUGUUUCCAUGUCUUGGCUAUUUUAUAUAAUGCCGCAGUGGACAUGGGGGUGCAGAUAUCUCUUUGAGAUAGUGAUUCAUUUCCUUUGGGUAUGUAUCCAGAAGUGUAAUUGCUGAAGCAUAUGGUUUCACCAAUUUACAAUUCACUAACAGUGCAGAGGGGUUCCCUUUUCUGUACAUACUUGCCAACACUUGGGAUUUCUCAUCUUUUUGAUAUAAUCUUUCUAAUAGUUAUGAGUUGAUUAUCUCAUUGUGGUUCUGAUUUGCAUUUCCCUGAUGACGAGUGAUGCUGAGCAUCUUUUCAGUUGUCUGUUGGCCAUCUGCAUGUCUUCUUUGGCAAAAUGUCUAUUCAGUUACUCUCCCCAGUUUUGAACUGGGUUGUUUGUUUUGCUGUUGAGUUGUAUGAGUCAUAUAUAUACCUAUAUCUAUCUACCUAUCUACCUAUCUAUCUAUAUAAAACAUAUCUAUAUGUUUUAUAUAGAUAGAUAGGUAGAUAGAGGUAGAUAGAUAGGUAGAUAGAGGUAGAUAGAUAUAUAGAUAUGAGUUCUUCUUAGAUGUAUGAUUUGCAAAUAUUUUCUCCCAUUUUAUAGGUUACCUUGUCGUACCUUUUCAUACCAUUCCAUAGGAGACCAUUUUUGGUGAUGGUUUCCUUUACCAUCAUGGUAUGGAAACUUUUUAGUUUGAAGUAGUACCAUUUGUUUCUGCUUUUUGUUGUCUUUGCUUUUGAUGUCAUUUACAAAAAAAUCAUUGCCAAGACCAAUGUCAAGGAGCUCACCCCCCCCCCAUGUUUUCUUUUAGGAGUUUUAUGGUUUCAGAUCUUACGUUUAAAUCUUUAACUUAUUUUGAGUUAAUUUUUGUGUAUAGUGUAAGAUAGCGGUCCAGAAUCAUUCAUUGCAUAUGGCUGUGUUUUCCCAACACUAUUGAAGAGACUGUUCUUUCCCUGUUGUGUAGUCUGGGAUUCUUUGUUGUGAAUUAAUUGACCAUACAUAUGUGGGUUUGUUUCUGUUAAUAUCCAUGUUAAUCUUCUGUUAAUCUAUCUUUAAUCUGUGUCUGGUUUUGUUUUCAGACCCAAUACCAUACAGUUUGAUUACUAUAACUUUGUAAUAUAGUUUGAAAUUAGGAAGUGUGAUGCCUCCAGCUCCAUUCUUUCUCAAAAUAGCUUCGACUCUUUGGGGUCUUCUGUGGUUGCACACACAUCAUAGGAUUGUUUGUUCUAUUUCUCCAAAACAUUUCCCCAGGAUUUUGAUAGGGGUUACAUUGAAUCUGUAUAUUGCUUUGAGUAGCAUUGCUAUUUUAACAGUAUUAAUUCUUCCAACCCAUGAGCACAGAAUGUCAUUUUAUUUAUGUGUCUUCAAUUUAUUUCAUCAAUGGCUUAUAGAUUUCAGUGUACAGGUCUUUCAUCUCCUUGGCUAAAUUUAUACCUAGGUAUCUUAUUCUUUUUGGUGCAAUUGUAGUAGGAUUGUUUUCUUAAUUUCUCUUUCUGAUCAUUUGUUAUUAGUGUAUAGAAACAGAACUGAUUUUUGUAUAUUGAUUUUACAUCCUGCAACUUUGCUGAAUUUGUUUGCCAUUUGUAACAGUUCUUUUUGUGUGUGUGUGUAGAAUCCUCAGGGUUAUAUAUGUAUGCGUGUGAGUAUGUGUAUAUAUAUAUAUAUAUAUAUAUAUAUAUAUGAUAUAAUAUCAUCUGUAAAUAGAGACAAUUUUACCUGCCUAGUUGCUUUGGCUGGAACUUCCAGUACUAUGUUGAAUACAAGUGCUGACAGUUGACAUCUGAUGUUAGAGAAAAAUCUUUCAGUUUGUCACCAAUGAGUAUGAUUUUAGCUGUGGGCUUGUCAUAUAUGGCCUUUAUUAUGUUGAGAUGUGUUCCCAUCACACCUGCUUUGUUGAGGAACACUUGUCAUGAAUGGAUGUUGAAUUUUGUCAAAUGCUUUUUCUGCAUCUAUUGGGUUGAGUAUAUGAUUUUUAUCCUUCAUUUUGUUAAUGUGAUGUAUCACGUUGAUUGAUUUCUGGAUGUUGCAUUCCUGGAAUAAACCCUGCAUGAUUGUGGUGUAUGAUCCUUUUAAUGUAUUGUUGAAUUCAUUCUGCUAAUAUUUUGUUGGGGAUGUUCUUUCCUUUGAAGUCGUCAUAAAUACCUGCAAGGAUGUUCUCUCACAUUUCUCCUAUCUUAUUCUCUUUCCUCCUCAAGUUCUUAUAUCAGUUCAUUCUUUCAAACUACUCAGUGUUAAAGUAUCAGUGCAGGCACAGUUGUGGUUGGAAUAGUCCUGUCUGAAUUUGGCCAGUUGGCCUACAGUGGCCAUGCAGAUGGUGGCCAGAGCCAGGAGAGAUGCCUGUCCUUGGAUGCAUUUCAGUAUCUUUAUUUCAAUAAAAUACUUUGACUUCAUAUUAAUCUUUCUGAAGCUUUCAUACAUGGUCUGAGGAAAGGAGAAUGGAAUCAUCAGUUAAGGCCCAACUAUUUUGUGAAUGUACUGAGGCCAUGUUUUUAUUCACUCCCUUGCUGCGACAGUUUGGAUCUUGGUAAACAGGGCAAGCCUUGCAGUCAGAUGGAACCUGCGAAACUAUAUGUAGCAAUCAAGACACAAAUCAAUCUUAGCCAAAAUAUGCUGAGAAUGAAACAAAACAAAAUAGAAUAAAACGAAAAAAUGACUCAUUGCACAUGGCUAGCACAGCCUUGAUAAUAUAAGGAUAGUAUGGAAAAGUUGAAUUUAUCCCAGGAAUCCAGUCAAUGCAACGUGAUAAAAUUAACAUCAUCUGUCUCAUUCUUAGAACAAAGGAGAAAAAUUUUAAUAAUAGCAGAUGCAGAAAUAGCUAUCUACCCUUACAGGAGAAGACAGUGGAAGACAGUGGCUAAUUGACACAAUAAUAGACCCAUUUAUUGAUAGUUGUUUUUUGAUAAGCUAGAGCAAAUGCAGAGCCCUUUACAUACACCAACUUAAUUUCCAUUGCUCUCUUUUGAGAUAAAUGCCACUUACGUAUUGCUGUUAUUAUUUUAAUAUGUAGAUAAAACUUUAGAUAAGUUUUCUUCUCAAGGUUAGAAAAGUGUUCCAAAUCUCAUUAAAAACCCUUUCUUUUUACAGUCAUUUAGAUACUUUCUUAGAAUGCCAAGGGCAAUUAUAUUACAGUUUUCUUGAAAUUCACAGGCAUACAUGUAACUCUCCUAAAAAGUAGUGGGCUGCAAAGGGAAAUGAAUGCUGAAAGUAGGUGUCAGAACUUCUCUGUGAGCUUGUAGCUAACUUAAAAAUAUUCUUUUUUAGAAGUAACAUUUCCUUUUCCUCCCCUAUUCUUAGAAGAAAUAGAUCAACACACAGCUGAAAUCAAAUUAGAGAACCAUUCACAUAUUUUUCUGAAAACCUAGAAUUAUUCUUUUAGUAUCUAAAGCCUAUGUAACACAUAUACACAUCUGUAUAACGUGAAAUAUUAAAGUGUGAAAUCAUGGGCGCCUGGGUGGCUUAGUCAGUUGAGCAUGCGACUCUUGGUUUCUGCUCAGGUCAUGAUCUUAGGGUUCAUGAGUUCAAGUCCCGCAUCGGGUGAGCCCCACUUCUCUCUCUCUCUCUCUCUCUCUCUCUCUCUCUCCCCCUCCACCCCCUCUUGCCUCUUGCUCACUUGUGCAUCUCUCCCUCUCUCUAAAAAAAAAAAAAAAAAAAAGAAUGAAUGAAUGAAAGAAGGAAAAAAAGGAAAGAAUUGAUUGUCUUAUUUUUAGAAAUUUAUUUACUGACUGCCAAUUUGGUUUUUUAAAAAGUGGACCUAAAAAUAGUUCUUGUCAAAGUGGUCUUCAGAAAUACAUUUUUUAAGGGGGGGCCUGGGUGGCUCGUCAGUUAAGUGUACAACUUCAGCUCUGGUCAUGAUCUCAUAGUUCUUGAGUUCGAGCCCCACAUCAGGCUCUGUGCUGACAGACAGAUUUUGUGUCUCCCUCUCUCUCUGCUUUGGAUUUGUGUGCCCCUCUCUCUCUGCCCUCCCCAGCUCAUGUUCUGUUUCUUUCUCUCUCUCUGUCAAAAAUAAAAUAAACAUUAAAAAAUAGAAAUAUAUUUUUUUCAAAAGAUUAUAAAUUAAGUAGCAUAAAUUAAAAAACAUAAAGCAAAAUUUUAAAAAUAUACUGAUUAUCUAAAUGUUUAAAAAAUAGAGUAUUCUUGCUACCUAUAUUUUGCUUCUUAGCCGAAUCUGCUGAAAUGUCACUGGUAUAUUUCUCAAACAUUUAUUUUUCAAUAUGAUCUUAUUAGAAAUUUUUGACAAUUUUUCAUCCAUUGUAUUAUUAGCAAAUUUGAAAUUACUGUCAUCGUCAAUCUGGUCUGUUGACGGCCUCUUGGCUUCAUAGGCACGUGGCCUUUACAGCCACUCUGAGCCCUUGUCAGAAGGGCCACACUUGGUUUAAUGCUUUCUUACUACCAUCUUGAAUCUCCAAGUUUUGAUCAGAGUGUCCUUCAUUUUCAUUUUGCACUGGAUCCUGCAAAUUAUGUAACCAGAACUGCUGUAGAUUACAGCAUUUUUUUUUUUUAACUGAGAAAACACUCUUUUUUCAGGUGCUGAGGGACCUAGGUAAGUUUAGAGCAAAUUGUGAAAAAUAAGGAUCUUCACAGUUCUAUUUUUUUCAUAUUAAAAUUGAUAAAGCAAAUUUUCAACCUUUAAUAAGUUUGUGGGCCCUGCUCCUGGGCUCCCAGGGAAGCUCUACUUGAACUUUUACCAAGGUCAGAAUGACUUCACCAAACCAGAACAUGAGCUCUCUUUCUGCCCCCGCACACAUUGUACAUCUGCUUCCUUAGCAAAUAACCUAGAAGAAACAUUUCAAACUAAAGGUAAGAGCAAAAGUCUCCCUAAAUUCCCAUCUAUACCUGGAAGCCUGAACCUUGCACAUGCUAAAAGCAUAAGAGAAAGUUUGUUAUUUUCUGUAAUGUCUUCUGUUAUGAUGAUUUGUAACUCUUGAUGCAACAAAAAACAUACAUAACUCUGUAUUGCACAUGGCCUCCCUGCAGCACUCUCUUCGUGAAGAUCGAGUAUCCCCAAUAGUCGUCCUCCCUUGAGCUGAAAUAAAGCUCUCAUCCUUUUCUUUUUUUAGAAAUUCUAAAAGAUUUGUUCAUUUUGCGUUGACAAAAUGUGUAAAUGUGUACAUAUUUCAGUGGGAAUAUUUCCAUAUGUACAGUCGUUUUGCCUCCACACAACAUGCAUUUCUUUUCCGAAUAUUUUUAUAGGACAAAACUUAUCAAAUGAUUUGUCUAUAUAAUUCUUUUCAAGUUUUCACCAAAUUUAUAUGCUACAAACUUUUGGACCCAGUUUCAUUGGAUUCUUAUAUAGAGUAUACAUUUAUCCAAUUAAAAAUAGAAACUCUAUCUAAAGAUUCUUCCCUCCCCCCUGCAGCCAGGAUAUUCCAAAAUUCAGUUAUAGACUUUCAGAAUUCAGUCCUGUGUACAGUUGAGCUCAGGUUAUUUUGUCACUUACUCCAUGUUCUUGUAGGUACAACUUUGAAUUUUGUGUUUGACGAUUUCCAAAUCAUCAAAAUUUUAUUUUAGAGACUCCACUCUGAAUACUUUGAUUAAACAUUUCUAAUUGAUUUUGAACAAAAUGCACGUGACAUUUAGGAGACUCACUUCAAAGGUUAAUAUCAUCAUUGGACAUUUAGGCUAAUUUAAGAUGAUUCUUCCAUAAAGCACAUGUAACUAUAUUCCAUCUGCUGAUAGACGCCAAAGAGGAAAAGCAUGUACUUCCACGUUGACAUGUGUAUUGUCUUCAUCAGCAGCUUCAUCACAAAUAGUUUGUGGUUGUGAUGAUAUAAAAAAUAUUUUUAAGUUUGCACAACUACAUACUAUGUUUCUUGGAAGAAUAUUGCAACUUGUUAUCGCAGUCUGAUCGGUGUGUAUAUUAUAACCAGCUCCAAGUCAUUUCUUCUCCACAGGUUUUUAAUUUAGUAAGAAUAUUGUUUUUGCACAGGGUAUGUUCCAUCAAAAUUUGAUUCAUAUUGCCAUUACAAAAAUCUUCACUGAUACACAUUUUAACUAAGUUAAUAACAGCAUUUAUUCACAAAGUAUUACAUAUUUCACCUCUGGGAGACACAACUCCCAAAAGCUUAACUUUGAUUCUAUCGAUGAAUGAAAUGAAAAACUUAAACUGCUUUUUUAUUUGAAGCCUUGAUGAAACUGGCUUUCAAAAUAUGUAAUUUGUCUUCUGGUACUGGAGCUAACACUUUCACAUAUUGGUUUACCUUUUGAAAAUGGCAGAAACUAAUUUAGAAUAACAGUCAUUUGAUCAAAUGAAAAGUCUGCUUAACAAAGUCACAUGUACAAUCACCCCCCCCCCCCCCCCGAGCUCCACUUAUUAGAUUGUCAUCUGUGGGUAGAAUUUUCUUAAAUUAACUACUGCCUUUUGAAGGAAAUGCUGGUAUUUUCUUUGAGUGAGAGAGAGAGUGCGCGCGCAAGAGAGAACAUGCGCACAGGUGGGGGAGGGGGAGAGAGAAAGGAACAGAGAAUCCCGAGCAGGCGUGUGGAGCCUGAUGUGGGGCUUCAACUUAUGAACUGUAAGAUGAUGACCUGAGCUAAAACCAAGAGUUGGAUGCUUAACCAGCUGAGCCACCCAGCGCUGGUAUUUUCUUUUGGAUAGUAUCUUGGUCUUCACAUGGUUGGAGAUCUCGCUGUGCUACCCACUAUGGUGGGUGGUAAACACCAAUCUGUGCACAUUACACACUCUGUUUCUUGAGAUAAGAAAACACAGUACUUAAUUUUUGAGCCCACCACUUGCUGAAAUGAUUUAUUGCAAAAUAAAGAAGUAUGGGGCGCCUGGGUGGCUCAGUCGGUUAAGUGUCCGACUUCGUUUCAGGUGUGAUCUCACCAUUUAUGGGUUCGAGCCCUGUGUUGGGCUCUGUACUGACAUCUUAGCGCCUGGAGCCGGUUUCAGAUUCUGUGCCUCCCUCUCUCUCUGCCCCUCCCCCACUUGCACUCUGUGUCACUCUCUCUCAAAAAUAAAUAAAUAUUUUAAAAAAUUAAAAAAAAAAGAAGUACAACCACACAAAAAAUGUCUGUAGGUUUUCACUCAAUAAUGAAUGAUAAAGUCACUGUUGCCAGAGAGCUUAGACUUUUUUUUCUAUAAUCUCUAUAACCAGAUUUUCUAUAAUACAUCAUAACUGGAUUGGUCAGCCUCUAUUUCCCUGUACAUAUUUUACAUAUGUCUACACUAUAAUUUUCCAUGUUUCCAACUGACUUGCCAUAUGGUGGCCUCUCAUAUGCCUUGUAUGAACCAUGGCACAACCAAGUGGCAGAUGAGGAAAGAAGUACCAAAUACUUCUCCCACCGACGCUGGAGACCAGAAGGACUUACCUGUACCUAGCUGCUAUGACCAAGCAUACCACCUUGCCAACAGAUAUGCUGUGGUUUUAUCAGUACGGUAGUUCCUUAUAUACGCAUACCUCGGAGAUCUUGAGGUUGGGGUUCCAGACCACCACACUAAAGCAAAUAUUGCAAUAAAGCAAGUCAAAUGAAUUUUUAAUUUCCCAGUGCAUAUAAAAGAUAUGUUUAUACUAUAGUCUAUUAAGUGUGUAGUAAUAGCAUUAUAUCUAAAAAACGUACAUAAUUUAAAAAUACUUUGUUGCUAAAAAUGCUAACCAUCAUCUGAGCUUUUAGUGAGUAAUCUUUUUUUUUUAAAUUUUUUAAGUUUAUUUAUUUAUGAGAGAUAGAGACAACAUGAGUGGGGGAGGGGCAGAGAGAGAGGGAGACAACCCGAAAGAGGCUCCAGGCUCUGAGCCGUCAACACAGAGCCAGAUGCGGGGCUUGAACUCAGAAACCAUGAGAUCAUGACCCGAGCCAAAAUCGGAUGCUUAACUGUCUGAGCCACCCAGGUGCCCCUAGUGAGUAAUCUUUUUGCUGAUGGAGGGUCUCGCCUCCUUGUUCAUGACAGUUGAUGGAUCAGGGUGGUGGUUGCUGAAGGUUGGGGUGCUGUGGCUAUAGCUUAACAAUGAAGUUUGCUGCAUUGAUUGACUCUUCUUGUCCUGAGCAAUUUCUUUGUAGCAUACAACGCUCUUUGAUAGCAUUUUACUCAUAGAAGAACUUUCAGAAUUGGAGACCAUCUUCUCAAAUUCUGCCGCUGCUUUAUCACCUAAGUUAUGUAAUAUUCUAAAUCUUGUGCUGUCACGUCAACAAUCUUCACAGCAUCGUCACCAGGAGAAGCUUCCAUCUCAGGAAACCACUUUCUUUGCUUCUCUGUAAGAAGCAGCUUCUCAUCCGUUCAAGUUUGAUCAUGAGAUGGCAGCAGUGCAGUCACAUCCUCAGGCUCCACUUCUAGUUCUCUCGCAGUUUCUGCCCCCCCUGCAGUUACGUCCUCCACUGAAGUCCUGAUCCCCUCGAAGUCAUCCAUGAGGGUGGGAAUCAACUUCUUCCAAACUCCUGCUCAUGUUGAUGUUUUGACCUUUUCCCAUAAAUCGGGAAUGUUUUGAAUGCCGUUUGGUGAAUCCAUUCCAGAAGUUUUUCAGUUGACUUUGCCCAGAUCCAUCAGAGCAGUCAUGCUCUAUGGCACCUCUAGCCUUACAAAAUGUGUUUCUUAGGGGCGCCUGGGUGGCGCAGUCGGUUAAGCGUCCGACUUCAGCCAGGUCACGAUCUCGCGGUCCGUGGGUUCGAGCCCCGCGUCGGGCUCUGGGCUGAUGGCUCAGAGCCUGGGGCCUGUUUCCGAUUCUGUGUCUCUCUCUCUCUCUCGGCCCCUCCCCCGUUCAUGCUCUGUCUCUCUCUGUCCCAAAAAUAAAUAAACGUUGAAAAAAUAAAAAAUAAAAAAAACAAAAUGUGUUUCUUAGAUAAUAAGACUUGAAAGUUGAAAUGACACCUUGAUCCAUAGGCUUCAGAAUAGAUGUUGUAUUAGCCAGUGUGAAAACAAUAUUCAUCUUGUACAUUUCUGUUGGAGCUCUUGGUUGACCAGGUGCAUUGUCAACGAGCAGGAAUAUUUUGAAUCCUUUCUUUUGAGCAGUGGGUCUCAACAGUGGCCUUUAAAUAUUCAGUAAAACACAUUAUCAACAGAUAUGCUGUCAUCCAGGCUUUGUUGUUCUAGGGCACAGGCAGAGUAGACUUAACAUAAUUCUUAAGGGCCCUAGGAUUUCUGGAUGGCGAAUGAAUAUUGGCUUCAACUUCAAGUCACAAACUGCAAAGCCCCUAACAAGAAUGUUAGCUGACCUUUGAAGCUUUGAGGGCUGGCAUUAACUUUUCUUCUCUAGCUAUGCAAGUUUUAGAUGGCAUCUUCUUCCAAUAGAAGUCUGUUUUGUUUACAUUGCAAAUACGUUGUGCAGCUGCCUUCCUUAAUGACCUUAGCUAGAUCUUCUGGAUAGUUUGCAGCACUUGCUGCUUUGCCUUGCACUUUGAUGUUAUGGAGAUGGCUUCUUGCCGAAAACCUCAUGAACCAGCCUCUUCAAACUUCAGACUUUUCUUCUGCAGCUUCCUCACCUCUCUCAACCUUCAUAGAACUGAAGAGAGUCAGGGCCUUGCUCCGGAUUAGGCUUUGGCUUCAGGGAAGGUUGUGGAUGGUUUCAUUUUCUAUCCAGACCACUGAAACUUUCCCCAUAUCAGCAGUAGGGGAGUUUCACUUUUUUAUCAUUCAUGUGCUCCCUGCUUUGGCACUUUUAAUUUCCUUCAAGAGUUUUCCCUUUGUGUGUACAGCUUGGCUGUUUGCCACAAGAGGCCUGUCGUGGUUUUUGACAUGCUUUGCUCGUUCUUGUAAUCAUUUCUAGAUUUGAUUUAAAGUCAGACAUGUGUAACUCUUCCUUUCCGUUGAACAGUGAUUAAUUUCAAUAUUUUCAGUAUUGUUGUGUCUCAAGGAGUAGGAAGUCCCGAGAAGGGAGAGACAUGGAGGAAUGGCCAGUCAGUGAAGCAGUCAGAGCACAACAAUAUUUAUCAGUUAAGCUCUCCAUCUUAUAUGGGCAUGGCUGGUGGCACCCCCAACAAUUACAAUAUAACAUCAAAGAUCAUUGGUCCUAGGGGCGCCUGUGUGGCUCAGUCGGUUAAGUGUCCAACUUUGGCUCAGGUCAUGAUCUCACAGUUCGGGAGUUCGAGUCCCAUGUCGGGCUCUGUGCUGACAGCUCGGAGCCUGGAGCCUGCUUUGGAUUCUGUGUCUCCCUUUCUCUCUGCCCCUCCCCUGCUCACACUCUGUCUCUCUCCCUCUCAAAACUAAAUAAACAUCAAAAAAAGUUUUAAAAAAAGAUCACUGGUCAUAGAUCAUCAUUACCAAUGUAAUGACAAAGUUUGAAAUAUUGCAAGGAUUACCAAAAUGUGAGACACAGACACAAAGUAAGCAAAUUCUGUUGGAAAAAUGGUAUCAAUAGACUUGCUUGAUGCAGGGUGCCACAGGCCUUCAAUCUGUUUAAAACAAAAACAGUAUCUGCAAAGCUCAAUAAAGCACAGUGUGAUAAAACGAAGCACAGUAAAAUGAGGUCUGCCUGAAUGAUGUGCUUGAGAAAAGGGAGGGUCUGGAAAGGGUCAAGAAAAAAGAAAUUCACUAGUUGCCUUUUAGAUUUAACCUCAGGUUAUAGUGAGUAGUGCGAACUCUAUGAAUUGCUGCGUCAGUUACCAAUUUACUGUCUCUCUGCUCUAUCUCCACUGUUCACUGAAUCAGUAUUACUACUUCACCAGCAGGUACAAUGUUGGAUUUGUCAGUAGGGAGCGCUGGAGAGACAGUUCGAGGAGACAGCAGUGGAGAGGCCCUGAUUUCCCUCCCAGGUGCUGGUCCUCCUAUGGUUAUUCAGUGCAGGGGCCAGCAACCCACAGUGACCGUUUCUACCUGCAUUCCCAUGCUUUCCCUGUGCAGUGGCCUUUCUGCAGUCACAAAGCCCACAACCCCAUUCUGCAGUCAUUAAACCUGCAACCCAGGCAACUGUAUCCCAUCCUGGCAUUUUGCUUCUACAGACCAGCUUCUCCCACCAGCAACAGCCAACAGCGUCUCUGGACCAGCUCUGACCCAUGCCCUCUGGCCGGUGGCUGGCUUUGUGUUCCUGUGGCAGUCACCCCCUCUUCAAAGAGCUCUGGAGCUCAGUAGGGUUCUCCCAGGUCGUUGGUCCUUUCGUUGUGUUCCAUUGUCCACUCUUCUCAGCCCGAGGUAGCAGCUGGCCCUUUGCACUGCCUGCUUCUGCUCUCCUGGAUCCCAUUUCACUCCUUUGCUUAAUGAGCAAUUCUGUAUACUGAUUCCCCUGUUCAAAUAAUGGAGGUAGCUAUGUCUCCUAAGUGGGCCUUGACUGAUACUGCACAUGAGAGUCACACACUGUCAGCCAAGACCAUGGCAGAAUCUUUACAUACUAAACAAAGGUCUACCAAGCCUCUCCUGGUUUAGUUUAAUGUAACUAUUAGCAGAAAUCCAUUAAAAAUGAAAAAGCUAGGACAGAUGCUGAACAGAUGGUCUGAAGUCAGGACAAUAGGUAUUAAUGGGACUGUCCCAGGCAAACCAAAGUGUAUGAAUUAUACUAUACCACGUUCCUAGAGGAUAUGAGGGUUAUGUUUCUAUUUAACUUACUACCUGCAGUGCUAGUCAAAGCCCCCCGAAAAGGAAUGAACAUAUUUAGGAGACAAACAGACUGCUCUAAUUAUUUGUCACACAACUCCUUCUCAUUUAAUAAAGUCGACCUUUUUUUUUUUUCCAGACAAAAUGAGCUCAGGAUCUUUCUAACAAUGGUAGUAGUAGGUCUCUUGGUAAUGACAGUACUCAAAAUUUGGUUUGAUUCAUCCUUAUGCAAUCAAGACUAACUGCUUGGUACACAGGAGUCAUUCUGAGUCUUUAACUUUGUGUGUGUGUGUGUGUGUGUGUGUGUGUGUGUGUGUGUGCGUGUGUGUGCAUAUCAUCUCCUGGGCCCUCAAUUCCACUUUUACUGUGUGCAUCAUUGCUUUGCUAGAGCAUAUCCUGUGGGAGCUUUCUGCAAAAUUGUCUCAUGGGAGGUAUGUUUUUGGAGACCUCUUUGUAUAAUUUUUUUUUUUUUGAAGGAGAGAGAGACAGAGCAUGAGCGGGGGAGGAGCAGAGAGAGAGGGAGACACAGAAUUUGAAGCAGAGACUUCUUUGUAUAAAAAGGUCUUGAUUUUGCCAUUAUUUUGGCUACUAUUUUGAAUGGGAGUAUAAUUUUGGUUUGGAAACUUUUUUUCCUCAAAUUCUUAAAGAUGUUGCGCUCUAGAAUUCUCUCUUCUAAUGUUGCUGUUAAGAAGUCUAAAGACAUUCUGAUAUUCGGUCCUGUGCACCUGUGUAUGGGAGUUUGUUUUCCUCUUGAGAUGUACAAUCUUUGCUUUAUCUGUUGUUCUGUAUUCCUAUGAUGAUGUGUAGGGAUGAGUGUGUGCAAGGGGACUUGGUAAACCCUUUAAGUCUAGAAGGCAGGUCCUUAAUUUCUGGGAAAACAUUUUAAAAAAUGUUCUCACAUUUUUAACACUUUCUUCUUCUCUGGCUUCACUUUCUGGAUAAUACAGUCGACCUUUGAACAGCAUGGGUUUGAACAGCAUGGGUCCAUUUAUAUGCAGAUCUUUUUCAGUAACUGCUGUACAGAACUAUAAAUAUACUUUCCUUAUGAUUUUCUUCAUACCAUUUUCUUUUCUCUAGCUUAGUUUAUUGUAAGAAUACAGUAUAUAAUACAAAAUAACAUACAAAAUUUGUGUUAAUUGACUAUUUAUGUCAUCAAUAAGUCUUCCAGUCAACAGUAGGCUAUUAGUAGUUAAGUUUUGGGGGAGUCAAAAGUUAUACACAGAUUUUUGGCUGUGUGGUUGGGGGGGUGCCCCUAAUCCCGUGCUCUUCAGAGCUUGAUUGGACACCCUUAAAAUUAAGGGAGGGAAUGACAGUGCCCUAACCAGGCACUACUGUCAGUUAGCAGUUGCUAUUAUAUCACAAAUGCUUGUUUCUUUCACAAGUUGAUUGAAAUACAAAACCUGGCAAACUAAUUAAUGUGAUGCUUUUGAAAUUGAGGUACCGGGUUGUUUCUGCACAUUCCUAGGUCCAUAUGUGUCCAUAACAUUUCUUUCUAAUAGCAUGCUUUCAUUUUGGUAGUCCUCUAAACAUUUGAAUAUGAGCAUGCUUUCGAUUAUCUGCAUGAUCAUUUGAGAGUGGAGUAUUCUGGAUUUAGGAUCAUGCUGAUAUGAAGCAGUACAGGUCGCAUUGUGGCAGGGUAGUGAAAUAGGACAGAAAUAGAUCUUAUAUAGUGAUUCAUGAACUCUGUGGACUGGCCAAAUAGCCAGUUUUAGGUCAGUUUGAAUGGAGAGCAGUGGUGGGGACACUGGGGAGAAGAGACUUCGGCAAGUCAAACCCAUGCAUUGGUGUAGAUGGGUACACUGAACUCAACAGAAAGGGCAAAACACAGUAUCGUUUUCAAGUUGAAAUGGAAGUUUUGUUUCAGCAAAGCAGUGUCACAGGUAAUGAGAAGAUGACUGCAUAGAACCCUUAAGUCUGUUCUCAGGAAGUGAAAACUCCGUGCCCUAAGCAUUCACACAACCACACCCUAAUCCUUAGUGACACUCGUUCACCAUAAUUAAACUCCUCCUCCCUCACUGAUGGGUGGGACACUCUUUUUUGUUAUUAUUUUAGAGAGAGCCUGAGAGCAAGCUGAGGAGAGGGGCAGUGGAGAGAGAGAGAAUCUCAAGCAGGCUCCACACUCAGCAUGGAGCAUGACCCUGUGACGCUGGGAUGGUGACCUGAGCUGAAUCAAGAGUUGGACACUCAACUGACUGAGCCACCCAGGCACCCCGGCGCUCUUUAAUAUUGUCUUGUGACAAUAUUGUUACUACAGGGUAUGGCAGAAAGAGCUUGCUAAGGAAAAGAGGCCUAUGGACCACAGCCUUAUUUCUUGCAUGAACUGUCUGUGGGACCCACAGUGAGCCACACAAAUGACAUCUCUUUCCCUCUCCUCCGCUGGAAAACAUGAGGAGUAGAGUCAGCAGUCUAUGUGCUUUCUAGCUCUGACAGUUCAUGAUGCUAUCUCUGUUCUCCUGGGAUGAAUUAACAGAAGCAAAUGCAUUGUUUUCACUCCACAUCUUCUUGAAACCAUGAAAACCUGUUGGGAAUGUUGCCGGGAGAGUGGGAGGGGACUCAGGGGAAGUGCAGGUGGUUGUUGCUGAAGUCUAUGGCUGAUCACUGAAUGUGGACAUUCCAACUCCCAGUGAAGGCUAAGAAGGCCUCCUCACAAUUAGUUCCCAGCAAACUUUUCUUUUUUUUUUUUAAUUUUUUUUUCAACGUUUAUUUAUUUUUGGGACAGAGAGAGACAGAGCAUGAACGGGGCAGGGGCAGAGAGAGAGGGAGACACAGAAUCGGAAGCAGGCUCCAGGCUCUGAGCUAUCAGCUCAGAGCCUGACGCGGGGCUCGAACCCACGGACCGCGAGAUCGUGACCUGGCUGAAGUCGGACGCUUAACCGACUGCGCCACCCAGGCGCCCCCCCAGCAAACUUUUCAAUGUGAAAUAUUACCACAUCUAACGAUACGGACUACAGGAUCUCAACCUGUAGGAACUCUGGCUGUGCCUGGACUCCCCAGCCCUCCUGGACAAGCAGAAGUCUGAGAUGGAGGGCCUGGAGUUCAGCCAGAAAGUGAGCUUGGGGUAUAUCUUUCCUGGGGUCUCCAAAGUUCUGAGCCAAGGCAAUCAGAAAAACCACAUCAAGGAGUUGGGGCUUGGGAACCACACAUAAUACAAAUAUUAGUUGAAGAGGUGUGAAAAAUGAGGUAUGGGUUAAGAAGGGCAGAAUGUGAGACUGAGAAUAGUGUCUCUGAAUCAUGACUGGAAACUUCUCAUCAGGCGCUUUUGGCCACACUGAUGGGGAAGGCCUCUGUAUCCCCUGCCUCAACCCCGUGACACACUUCCUCAUCUCUCACCUUCACUGUGCUUGCCUAACAUCAUGCCUCACUGCUCGUGGUGGUGGCCUCCCACAAUAUACUCUUCAUAAUGCAGCCAGAGGAAUUAUUCUAAAGUGUAGCUAGAAAUGGCUACACGUCUCCCCACUUAAGAUCCUUUCGUGAUUCCCUAUAACCCAUGAGACAAAGAGGAAAGUCAGUGUGAUGAUUAAGUUUAUGUGUCACCUAUGGCUGUGCCAUAGUACUGAAAUAUUUGGUCAAUACCAGUCUGAGUAUUGCUGUGAAGGUAUUUUUAAAUAUGAAAUUAACAUUUAAAUCAGCAGACUUUGAGUAAGGUAGAUUACAGUAAUAUGGGUGGGCCUUAUCCAGUCAGUUUCCCUUGAGAGAAAAUGACUGAGGUUACCUGAGGAAGAGGGAAUUCUGCCUUCCAACUUGAGCUGCAGCAUCAACUCUUCCCUGCCCUAGAGAUUUUGGAACUGCCAGCCUCCAUAAUUGCAUGGGGAAAGAUUGAGAGAACUCUCCCUCAAUGGUCCAUGGUCCUCAACCUUUGCCCCACUCUAGAAUCCAUCCCACUGCCUGGAUUUCCACUCAAGUGAUCCUCCCUUAAUUGAUUUGGGGUUCAGAAUGGCCACAGGAGUUUUUUGAAAUAGGAGAGGCAAAUGCUACUUGGAGGUAUCUGGGAAAGCUUCCUGGAGGAGGCAGUGUUUGAACUGAAUUGUGACAGAGCAACUAGGGUGCCAGGCACCCUGUGUGUACAUGUAGAGGAAUAUGCAUGUAGGAUAUGGAGGGAUGACAAAAAGUUUACCACAGCUGGAAAGGAAAGAAGACAGAGUCAAGAUCUUAAGAGGCUUAUGCUCUUUGAUUGACAAUUUGGACUUGAUCUUUGAGAUAAGAGGGUGUUAUGAAGGAUGAUCAGAUUUGGAAUGAUUAUUUGGGAUCCAGUGUGGAGAGCAGGUUGGCAUGGAUCAGGUGAAGGAGAGAAAGGAGGAGAGCCUCAUCCAAGCAGUGGAGGUGACGAGGAGAGGGUGGAUGGGAGGGAUGCUAGGAUGAUAGAAGUGACAGGGCCUUUGAUCAUUUAGCUGUGGGGUGAGGCAGAGGGCUCCCUCCAGGUUUCUGAGAGAUGUCUAGUAGUACAGAGACUGGAAAAGCCUGCAUACAGCUCAAGAUAUAGGCUAGAGAUUUGGACAUAAUCAGUAAGAGUCAAAACUUGAACCUGUACAUAUAGCUGAAGUCAUCCAAGAAGAGCAUAUUACAGAAUGAAAGGAAGAGAGCUUAGAAUGGAAUAAUGGAACAUUUCAGGUUGAAGUGAAGGAAUCUGGAGAGAAAGGAAAGGGACUAGGAGAGUCCUCUGGAGAUCCCAGCAAGGCAGCAACAGCAAAAGAGCAGAACAUUGCCAACAUAAAAUGAAAUAAGAGCCAGGGUAUGGUUUUUUUUUUUUUUUUUGGUUGUGACAAUUAGAAGGUCAUUGGUGACCUAUGGGGGCAGUUUUGGGGAAUUUUGGGGUGAAAGUCAAACUUCAGUGGGUGAGGAAUAAAUCAGAAGAUCAGAAAAAGGCAACAGUUAAUGUAAACUUUAAAACCUUUUUAUUUAUUUAUUAUUGUUUAAAAACAUAAUUUAUUGUUAGGUUAGCUAACAUACGGUGUAUACAGUGUGCUCUUGGUUUUUGGGGUAGAUUCCCAUGAUUCAUCACUUACAUACAACACCCAGUGCUCAUGCAACAGGUGCUCAUCACCUUUUUUCCCCUUCCCACCCUCUGCAUCAACCCUCAGUUUGUUCUCUGUAUUUAAGAGUCGAUUACGGUUUACCUCCCUCUCUGUUUGAAACUAUUUUUCCCUCUCCCUUUCCCCAUGGUCUUCUGUUAAGUUUCUCAAGUUCCACGUAUGAGUGAAAACAUAUGAUAUGUUUUCUUUCUCUGACUGACUUGUUUCACUUAGCAUAAUACCCUCCAGUUCCAUCCACUUGUUGCAAAUGGCAGGAUUUCAUUCUUUCUCAUUGCCAAAUAGUAUUACAUUGUAUAUAUUAACCACAUCUUCUUUAUCCAUUUAUCAGUUGAUGGACAUUUGGGCUGUUUAUAUAAUUUGGCUAUUGUUGAAAGUGCUGCUGUAAACAUUGGGGUACAUGUGUCUUUAUGAAUCAGCACUCCUGUAUCCUUUGGGUAAAUUUCUAGUAGUGCUAUUGCUGGGUCAUUUUUUGAGGAACCUCCAGCUAAUCUUUGACAAAGCAGGAAAGAGUAUUCAAUGGAAAAACAAUCUCUUUAGCAAAUGGUGCUGGGAGAACUGGAUAGCAGCAUGCAGAAGAAUGUAACUGGACCACUUUCUUAAACCAUACACAAAAAAUAACUCAAAAUGGAUGAAAGACCUAAUGUGAGACAGGAAACCAUCAAAACCCUAGAGAAGAAAACAGGCAACAACCUCUUUGACCUCAGCUACAGCAAUUUCUUCCUUGACACACCUCCUAAGGCAAGGGAAAUAAAAGCAAAAAUGAACUAUUGGGACCUCAUCAAAAUAAAAAGCUUCUGCACUGCAAAGGAAACAAUCAACAAAACUAAGAACCUGCGGAAUGGGAGAAGCUAUUUGCAAAUGACAUCAGAUAAAGGUUAGUAUCCAAAAUCUAUAAAGACCUUACCAAACUCUACACCUGAAAAACAAAUAAUCCAGUGAAGAAAUGGGCAGAAGACAUGAAUAGAUACUUUUCCAAAGAAGACAUCCAGAUGGCCAACAGACACAUGAAAAGAUGCUCAACAUCACUCAUCAUCAGGGAAAUACAAAUUAAAACCACAUUGAGAUACCACCUCACACCAGUCAGAAUGGCUAAAAUGAACAACUCAGGAAACAACAGAUGUUGGUGAGGAUGUGGGGAAAUGGGGACCUUCUUGCACUGUUGGUGGGAAUGCAAACUGGUACAGCUGCAAUGUAUACUUUUUAAAGAAACUUAACUGUCAGUGGAAGAAUGAGAAAUAGAAUGGUAGCUACAGGCAUGAGAAGUAAGAGAAGUGUGGUUAAUUGGUUUUUAACAUAGGAGGGACUGGGCAUAUUUAUGAGAUGUGAAUAACAUGACUCCAAAGGACUACAAGAGAUUAAAGAUAGAGGAGAGAAGGCAAUUAAUGGAACCAUGUCCUGGGGAACGAGGAGGGGGUCUGCUUUCCUUGAAACAGAAGGGGUAGAGACAUGGUAGGUCAGAUAAGGAGAGUUGGCCACUCCUCCAAGAGCUGGAAUAAAGAGGCACCUGUCACCAGGCCAGGUGCUGGGACCUCAUUCAGUCAGGAGCCCCUGGCUAAAACCCUCCCCCGGAGCGCCAGGUGAGCAGGGGGAGAGGUGGGGGAGGGAGAACCCACGCAGGCAACCCGAGGAAGAGAUAGGAGGGUGACAACAGGACAUAGGGAAAGAGGAGAGUGGGACGGGUGCGGAGGCCAGGGCUCCUCAUGCGUGCCCACUGUGUCGUGGGGGUGUGCUGGGGGUCAUCACGCAUGCCCUGCUGCCUUGUGGGGAUGGGGGCAUCACAUGGGGCCCCCAAGGCCAGGCGCUAGAGUUGCAGUUUCUUAGCCUUGGAACAGAAGUCCUGUGGGCCGGUGGUUCAGAAGUGGGAGCAGGGGUGUCUUUCCUCAGGCUCGUGGGCGGUGGGGGGCCAGUGGUGACAUUGCUUUGGAUUUGGUGGCCUGGAGUUGCCAUGGCCUCCCUGGGGUCAGUCCCUGCCACCCAUCUGCCUGGUCCCUCUGCUAGGGACUUACUGGCAACCUCAUGUUCUGCUUUUUCUCUGAUUAAACAGAAGUAAACAAUUUGAGCUUCUCGCCUUCAUCCACCACUUCCCCUCAACUUGGAAAAAAUGCUUCUUCACUUGGCUGCCCUUUGUGGUAUGUCGCAGGAGCUCCCUUAACCCACUUCCUCACCCCAGAUACUCCUCGGCCCCCACCGCUGGGCCCACCCACUCCAGAAACACCUGCCCCCCAGCCACCUCUCCUGCCUCAUGCCCUCCCUGCCUCCUCAUACAAACCUCCCAGAUCAACCAUUUCCCACAGAGGCGUCACAGGUACCUCCUCUUCCUUCUUCUUAGUACCUUCAAAUAUUGGAAAGUACCCAGAACUAGUUGAAUUUAUUUCCUUGUGUCUUCACUAUACAUCCUUAGUAAUUUGAUCCAUUCACAUGGAACUGCCUGGAAUAGGGAUGCUUAUGGCUCCUUAUGUCUCACUCUAGAAUUAACUGCUAAUUCUGAGGCUCCUGCCUGUUUUCACGACAUCCUUGGUGUCCUUGGUGACACAUUCAUUUGGGAGGUCCCACUAACCUCAGAAGGAACGUAUCAUCUUCCCUGUUCUGAGGCGGCUUCCUUGUGAAACUGGCCCUGCGGCCCUUGGCAGACCCUAAGUAUAAAUUUAGCUACAAACUAGAAUAGUCCUUGACUUCUCCUCCUCCUCCCUAAGCCUAUGUGGCCAGUCACCUGGCCUGGCACUUUUCUCUCCUACUUCUCCACCAAAAUUCUUUCCUCUGCAUUCCAGCCAUUGCUAGUCUGUUGUAGUGGCCUACCCACAGGCUCCCCAGGGGCUUUCGCCAGUGGAUGAUGGGCCACAUUAUUUUGCUAAAAUUCCAAACUACUCCUGUACAACAUUUGUUUAAAACUAUGCAUGACUUUCUAAACCAUAGAUCAAGUUUAGACUCCACAACCUGCCACGAGGGGCCUCCCCCUGUGUCUCCACCCACAUCUCUGACAGGGCACCCUGCAGAGCCACUCACAUAGGCCCUGCGUGGACUUGGUCUUCCCGCUGUUGUUACAGAGCUCAUGGCUAACUGGCCAGCAGUGCAUUCAUGUAUCUCCUCUCCCCUGGGGCCCGAAAUCCAGGUGAGGACUUCGAGCACCUAGUUUGCAUUUUUCAUCCCCCAAAACAUGUAAGGAAAGGUCUGCAUAUUUGCUGUUUGAAUAAACUCACUUACGGCAGUUUGUAGAGAAGCGGGGAAUUCACAGGCAUACAAGGGUCCCAGGAAGCUCCUACAUACUGGAGAGAAGAAGCCUUGCUUUUGAGAUGUGGCAUUCUUUCUGUGAGACCUGAGGACAGUAAUUUCAUUGUCACAGGUCUUAUUUGUUCAUCUGUAAAAGGAAAACUAGUUUGAUGCUAAUUCAUUUUAAUGGCUAGAAGUCAAACCUUUCCACAGUUCAGUAUUUAUGACACUGUAGCACUGUGGCCCUGGCAUUCAUAGGUAUUAUUUGUGUUAGUCAUAUUGAACUGAAUUCCUAUUUAGACUUUUUGGGGGAGGUCCACAUUGUUUGAAGUUCCAGCCCUCUCAAAAACUUUACUGUGAGAGUGGACUGGACCACCAAGAAGAAGUGGGAGAAGGAGUUAUUUUGUUACCUCCCUCCCACCCUACUGACACUGGUGUGAGCUGAGACACACCCCAGAGGCACACUGUGUGUGAAUGUGUGUGCAUGCCUGUGUAUCACGGCUAUGGAAUAGAUAAUGAUGGGAGAUAUCAUGACACUGACCAGCGCCUGGAUGCUGAAAAGGAUUGGAAAUGAGGAAUGGAGAUGAAAGAAGAGAAAAGACAGGAGAAACUAGAAGUAGGCAAAAACAAGGCAUUAAAAGUAGUUAACAUCUAAAAGUGAGGUUGAUGGGAUAUUUGAGUUCAUUUUCACCAAUUCGGACAGGACAGUGAAACACACACACAGACACACGCUCACCAGCCUAGGUUUAUGCCUGCCUCAUCUAGAUAGCAAAACUCUCAAGCUCAAAUAAGGUCAAAUUCAAAUUUUAUUUGUGUCUCUGCUCUUUGCUUCACCUAGUUCUCUCCUUCUUUGGUCCUCUCUAGUUGGUGGACCCAGUGCUUUGAAGUUUGAAUAGCUCUUUCUGGCUCUCAGCUCUUUCUUUAUUUCCUGAAAUGUCUUUAGGUGUGAGGUGAGGUCGUGUGGACUGGAAGAGGCCUGGAAGAGGCUGGCCUCUGCUCCGCCGAGGGCUUGCCCAUGGCCAACACACCAGCCUUCUAGAAACUACAGCCUUCAAGUAUAAUCAGUGCAGCUGAAGGAUCCCGAGGGGCUUUGUGAUUUGAGGACAGUUGAGGAACUUUAACAUUUAACAUGAUCUAUGUCACUAUUAUGCUUUCUUGGUUGACAUUUUCACACAUCCUUUGAGACUUAAAACAACUUAUAUUGGUUUUGGCUGUUCUUUAUUUAGAGAAUGGCCUUUGCACAUUUUUUUUUUAAUGUUAGACACUCCCUCUUAAACUAUUUUUGGAGGAAGCUUACCACAAAACAUCCAACUGUAGAGAUGCUCAUAUUGAAACAGAGAUCCCUUAGUCUCUCUCAUCCACCCAGCUCUGCUUUCCUCCCACUGUGCCCUAAUAAACUCAAAGGACUGUUCUUAAGGCUUAAUGGAGCACAGUUUCAAAACUGCAUCACUUUGUAGCCCCCCCUGGGAAACAGGAAGAUGAAAGAUCAGAUGAUGACCCAUCUGUGAAAAUGAGUCUGUAACAGUAUGGUGAUUCCCCAAAAAUUAAUCAUAGAGGUACCAUAUGAUCCAGCAAUUUCACUUCUGGGUGUUUACCCAGGAGAAUUAAUAGCAGGAAGCAGAUAUUUAUAUAUCAUUGUUCAUAGCAGCACUAUUCAUAAUAGCCAAAAGGUGGACACAACCCAAGUGUUCAUAGAUGGUUGAAUGGAUAAACCAAAGGUGCUGUAUACAUACAAGGGGAUAUUAUUCAGUCUCUAAAAAAGAAGUAAAUUCUGACACAUGCUGAAAUAUGGAUGAACCUUGAGGACAUUAUGCUCAGUGAAAUAAGCCAGUCACAAAAGGACAAAUAUAUGAUUCUCCUUUUGUGAGUUAUCUAGAAUAGUCAAAUUCAGAGACAGAAAGUAGAAUGGUGGCUGUCAGGGGCAAGGGUGGGAAUGGGAAGUUAAUUUUUAACGGGUUUUCAGUUUCAGUUUUGCAAAAUGAAAAGAGCUCUAUGGACGGAUGGUAGCACAACAGUGUGAAUGUACUUAAUGUGACAGUGCCUUAAACUGAACAUUUAAAAAUGGUUACGGCAGUAAGUUUUGUUAUGUGUAUUUUACCAUAAUUAAAAAAGAAUUAAAAACCUCAAAUCUGUGCAUGAUGAACCUUAUAUCUGGAUAGAGUUUUCAGUAACCUUGUUUUGCUUAGUUUUGAAUUUCUUAAAGUAGACACUAUCUUUCAUAUAUAUAUAUAUAUAUAUAUAUAUAUGUUUAUUUUUGAGAGACAGAAAGAGAGAGAGAGGGUGUGCAUGAGAAGAGGAGGGGCACAGAGAGAGCAAGACACAGAAUCCAAAGCGGGCUCCAGGCUCUGAGCUGUCAGCACAGAGCCUGAUGCGGGGCUUGAACCCACGAACAGUGAGAUCAUGACCUGAGCUGAAGUUGGAUGCUUAACCGACUGAGCCACCCAGGCACCCCUGGACACUGUCUUUCUUAUGUGGCUUUAAAAUUUUUUGAGCUAAGAACCAACAGUCCUAAUAUUUAUAUGGAACCAGAAAAGACCCCAAGUAGCCAAAGAAAUGUUGAAAAAGAAAACCAAAGCUGGAGGCAUCAGAAUUCCGGACUUUAAGCUGUAUUACAAGGCUGUAAUCAUCAAGACCAUAUGGUAUUGGCACAAAAACAGACACAUAAAUCAAUGGAAUAAAAUAGAGAACCCAGAAAUGGACCCACAAAUAUAUGGCCAACUAAUCUUUGACAAAGCAGGAAAGAGUAUUCAGUGGAAAAAAGACAGUCUCUUUGGCAAAUAAUGCUGGGAGAACUGGACAGCGACAUGCAGAAGAAUGAAACUGGACUAUUUUCUUACACCAUACACAAAAAUAAAUUUAAAACAUAAAGACCUAAAUUUGAGGCAGGAAACCAUCAAAAUCCUACAGGAGAAAAUAGGCAGCAACCUCUUUGACCUCAGCCACAGCAGCUUCUAAUUGGCAUAUCUCCAGAAGCAAGGGAAAUAAAAGCAAAAAUGAACUAUUGGGACCUCAUCAAGAUAAAAAAGCUGUACAGUAAAGGAAACAAUCAACAAAACUAAAAGGCAACCAACAGAAUGGGAGAAGGUAUUUGCAAAUGACAUAUCAGAUAAAGGCUUAGGAUCCAAAAUCUAUAAAGAACUUACCAAACUCAUAUUCAAAAAACAAAUACUCUGGUGAGAAAUGGGCAGAAAACCUAAAUAGACACUUUUCCAAAGAAGACAUCCAGAUGGCUAACAGACAUGAAAAGAUGCUCAACAUCACUCAUCCACAGGGAAAUACAAAUCAAAACCAUAAUGAGAUACCACCUCACACCUGUCAAAUGGCUAAAAUUAACAACAGAUGUUGGUGAGGAUGUGGAGAAAGGAGAACCCUCUUGCACUGUUGGUGGGAAUUCAAACUGGUACAGCCACUCUGGAAAACAGUGUGGAGGUUUCUCAAAAAAUUAAAAAUAGAACUACCCUAUGACCAAGCAAUAGCACUAGUAGGAAUUUAUCCAAAGGAUACAGGAGUUCUGUUUCAAAGGGGGCAUAUGCACCCUGUUGUUUACAGCAGUGGUAUCAACAAUAGCCAAGUAUGGGAAGAGCCCAAAUUUCCAUUGACUGAUGAAUGGAUAAAGAAGUUGUGGUAUUUAUAUACCUUGGCAAUGAAAAAGAAUGAAAUCUUGCCAUUUGCAACAAUGUGGAUGGAAAUAGAGGGUAUUAUGCUAAGUGAAAUAAGUCAGAGAAAGACAGAUAUGAUUUCACUCAUAUGUGGAAUUUGAGAAACACAACAGAUGAACAUAGGGGAAGGGAAGGAAAAAUAAGAUAAAAACAGAGAAGGAGGCAAACCAUAAGAGACUCUUAAAUACAGAGAACAAACUGAGGGUUGCUGGAGGGGUGGUGGAGGGGGAAGGGGUAAUAAAUGGGUGAUGGGCAUUGAGGAGGGUACUUUUUGGGAUGAGCACUGGGUGAUAUACAGUAUGUUAACUAACUUGAAUUUAAAUAAAAAAAUAAACAUAAAUAAAUAAAAUUCCAACUCUGCCUUCAAAAUGAAAUAAAAUGAAAUAAAGCUUUUCAGGUAAAAAUAUACAUGCCUGUAAAAAACAAAUAAAAUAAUAGAGAAAAGCAGAUUGCAGAGCUGUGGUACUGUAGAUGAUUUGUCCCUUUAUUCCCCAAAAUGUUUUCAAUUAUAAUGGCAAAGCAACUCAGGGAGGCAUGGAUGAGCUUCAAUAUUAUAUUGAAUAGUAGUCCAGUUAAAAAUCAACACUUCUUGGGGCGCCUGGGUGGCGCAGUCGGUUAAGCGUCUGACUUCAGCCAGGUCAUGAUCUCGCGGUCCGUGAGUUCGAGCCCCGCGUCAGGCUCUGGGGUGAUGGCUCAGAGCCUGGAGCCUGUUUCCGAUUCUGUGUCUCCCUCUCUCUCUGCCCCUCCCCCGUUCAUGCUCUGUCUCUCGCUGUCCCAAAAAUAAAUAAACGUUGAAAAAAAAAUUAAAAAAAAAAAUCAACACUUCUUGUUAAAUAAGGUUUGUUGAGACCUUAUAAUAAUUUGCUAAACUUCUUUUAACGAAUAGUAAACUGUAAUAACUUUUUUUAAGUUUAUUUAUUUUGAAAGGGAGAAAGAGAGAAUGGGGGAGGGGCAGAGAGAGAGAGAGAGAGAGAGAGAGAGAGACGCAGAGCAUCUUAAGUGGGCUCUGUGCUGACAGCAGAGAUCCCAGUGGGGGACUCACUCGUGAACUGUGAGAUCAUGACCUGAACUGAAGUUGGACACUUUUAACCGACUGAGGCACCAGGCCCUUCUCUUGGAGGGCACCUUUUCAUACUUUCCAUGUGCAUGAUGGAUGAAUCCUGCUACUCCUUCUGUGGGAGUGUGUGUCAUACAGCUGCCAUGAGACGUAGCAGCUGGGCCCACAUGAACAUCUCAGUAACAAAAGCAGACAAAAGCAUCGGUAUAUUAGAGCAAAAUUGCAUCUUUGAUAAGUAAAAUAAAACUAUAAUUCUUUCACAAAAAGGCAAAGGAUUUCAAUUUUAUUUUAAACUUUUGUGAAAAACCUAUUUAAAAUUGGAGAAUGCAGUUAUCUAAAUGAACUCGUAAGUGGGUAUUGUUAGUAUGUGGUUAUGUGUAGUGGAAGAAUGCCACCCAAAGUUGAACUUCCAUCUUCUGGAGUUAUUUAGAGGGGAUAUAGAAUCUGCUCCAAAGAGGGUUAUGUGUGACCUUCUGUACAAAUGAGGUAAUGGGUCAUGCUUUAGGGGAAUAGUUCUUAGCCUCUUUGUGUUUUAGGUUUCUUUGAUGAUCUCAUGAAUGUGUCCCAGAGCAUUUCCAUUUGCAUAACCCUUUACACAUAAUAUCAGGAGUAUUUGAACACCACCCCUGCAGCGCAACUGUGGAGCCCAGUUGUAGUUUCCCUGAGGUUCUGUUCUCCAGUUUACUGAAGGAUGGAGGCUUUGGGUUGGGGGUAGGAGACAUGGGAAAAACCUAUAUUCUCAUUCUGACUUGACAUUUAAAUUCCAAUCUGGUCUGUAAAAUUUGUAGUGAAACAUUUUCAUUUUUAUUUCUGCUUUUUCUCUUGUUCCCUGAGGCCAUGUUAGAUUCAAUCCCAAAGACUUUUUUUCUUUUUUUUCUGCGUCCUGUUAUCAUGCCUUUUGGAUAUGAAUAAUUCCGCUCCACUGGUUUUCAGUGGGAGGAAACUGUGUCCCCUUGGGAGAUAUGUGACAAUACCUGGAGACACUUUGGAUUGUCAUAAUUGAGAAACUGCUACUGGCAUCUAGUGGAUAGAGGUCAUGGAUAUUGCUGCACAUCCUAAAACACAGAGAGAGCCCCCACAAUGAAGGACCAAUCAUAUGACCCCAAAUGUCAGUAAUGCUGUAGUUGAGAAAGCCUGUGCUAGACAAUUAAAUUCCUUUUCAAAAAGGAACCCACUUGAUCUUUGGUACAGAGAUUUGUUUGGAGGUCACUCUUUGGGGAAUUAGAAUGCAGUGUUCAAAGCAGUUGGUGGUGUUUUCUGUUAACAGACACUUUUGUUUAAACAAAGAUGGACAUAUUCACCAAGGUUUCCACUCACUUCUCAAUGAAGCUAAUGAACAUGGCACACAGUGUUUUCUCAGAACUACCGACAGCCUUUGGAGAAAAAGUGUGUAAAGGAAAAUAACAGAGAAACUACAGAAGAGCAGAGAAUGAUGAACAGAUAUUCCUUGACUUGCAGUGGAGUUAUGUCCCAAUAAACCCAUCAUAAAGUGAAAAUAUCCCAAAGUGAAAGUGCAUUUAAUAUACCUAACCUAUCAAGUGUUAUAUCUUAGUCUAGCCUACCUUAAAGGUGCUCCAAAUACGCUGUGCUUAGUCCACAAUUGUGCAAAUCCUCUAACACAAAGCCUAUUUUAGUGUUAAUGAUCUCAUGAAAUUUAUUAAAUACUGUACUAGAAGUGAAAACCAGAAUGGUUGUGUGGGCACAGAGUAGUUGUAAGCAUACUGGUUGUUGACCCUGGUGACCGUGUGGCUGCCUGGGAGCUGCGGCUGCUGCCAAGUGUCAUGAGAGAGGAUAGUCCCGCAUAUUGCUAGCCUGGGAGAAGUUCAAAAUUCCCAAUAUGGUUUCUACUGAAUGCGUGUCACUUCUGCGCCAACGUAAAAUAAAAUCAUAAGCCAACCCGUCGUAAGUUGGGGGCUGUCUGUAUAACUCCACUGCCUUAAAAUUGUGCUUAGAAAUACACUUUUAUAAUUUUGAAUUUUAAUACUAUUUCUGAAUUUUGUCUUUCUUUUUUAUUGUUUUCUGACACAUCUCCCUCUGGUGUCACUCUCAGUAUGUCCAUCCUCCUGCACCNAUAAUAUCAGGAGUAUUUGAACACCACCCCUGCAGCGCAACUGUGGAGCCCAGUUGUAGUUUCCCUGAGGUUCUGUUCUCCAGUUUACUGAAGGAUGGAGGCUUUGGGUUGGGGGUAGGAGACAUGGGAAAAACCUAUAUUCUCAUUCUGACUUGACAUUUAAAUUCCAAUCUGGUCUGUAAAAUUUGUAGUGAAACAUUUUCAUUUUUAUUUCUGCUUUUUCUCUUGUUCCCUGAGGCCAUGUUAGAUUCAAUCCCAAAGACUUUUUUUCUUUUUUUUCUGCGUCCUGUUAUCAUGCCUUUUGGAUAUGAAUAAUUCCGCUCCACUGGUUUUCAGUGGGAGGAAACUGUGUCCCCUUGGGAGAUAUGUGACAAUACCUGGAGACACUUUGGAUUGUCAUAAUUGAGAAACUGCUACUGGCAUCUAGUGGAUAGAGGUCAUGGAUAUUGCUGCACAUCCUAAAACACAGAGAGAGCCCCCACAAUGAAGGACCAAUCAUAUGACCCCAAAUGUCAGUAAUGCUGUAGUUGAGAAAGCCUGUGCUAGACAAUUAAAUUCCUUUUCAAAAAGGAACCCACUUGAUCUUUGGUACAGAGAUUUGUUUGGAGGUCACUCUUUGGGGAAUUAGAAUGCAGUGUUCAAAGCAGUUGGUGGUGUUUUCUGUUAACAGACACUUUUGUUUAAACAAAGAUGGACAUAUUCACCAAGGUUUCCACUCACUUCUCAAUGAAGCUAAUGAACAUGGCACACAGUGUUUUCUCAGAACUACCGACAGCCUUUGGAGAAAAAGUGUGUAAAGGAAAAUAACAGAGAAACUACAGAAGAGCAGAGAAUGAUGAACAGAUAUUCCUUGACUUGCAGUGGAGUUAUGUCCCAAUAAACCCAUCAUAAAGUGAAAAUAUCCCAAAGUGAAAGUGCAUUUAAUAUACCUAACCUAUCAAGUGUUAUAUCUUAGUCUAGCCUACCUUAAAGGUGCUCCAAAUACGCUGUGCUUAGUCCACAAUUGUGCAAAUCCUCUAACACAAAGCCUAUUUUAGUGUUAAUGAUCUCAUGAAAUUUAUUAAAUACUGUACUAGAAGUGAAAACCAGAAUGGUUGUGUGGGCACAGAGUAGUUGUAAGCAUACUGGUUGUUGACCCUGGUGACCGUGUGGCUGCCUGGGAGCUGCGGCUGCUGCCAAGUGUCAUGAGAGAGGAUAGUCCCGCAUAUUGCUAGCCUGGGAGAAGUUCAAAAUUCCCAAUAUGGUUUCUACUGAAUGCGUGUCACUUCUGCGCCAACGUAAAAUAAAAUCAUAAGCCAACCCGUCGUAAGUUGGGGGCUGUCUGUAUAACUCCACUGCCUUAAAAUUGUGCUUAGAAAUACACUUUUAUAAUUUUGAAUUUUAAUACUAUUUCUGAAUUUUGUCUUUCUUUUUUAUUGUUUUCUGACACAUCUCCCUCUGGUGUCACUCUCAGUAUGUCCAUCCUCCUGCACCCAUACCUGCUUCUCCCCCUUUCCUCCCGAUCCCCCACCCUGCUGUAGAAGUCAGAAGCUCAGCCAUCCGGAGUCCUCCCUGGUCUUAACCUCUGGUGGGUGAACUGUUUCCCCUGAAAGAUCUCUUUAAUUUGCCCCCUCUCCUGAGUCACACUGCUGCUGCCUGAGUUCAGAGUCUCACUGUAUCUUCUACACUAUUAUUUUAAUUGCUACUUGACUGGUCCUCCAAGCACAGCCUGGUCCUUUCCUCUGUCUCACAAAUCUGCACUACUGGCAAAAAUAGUCUUUCUAAACAAAAAUCUUAUUGUGAAACUGAGACCUUUGAAUCGGGCUGGCUUCUUUUUUUUUUUAAUUUUUUUUUUCAACGCUUAUUUAUUUUUGGGACAGAGAGAGACAGAGCAUGAACGGGGGAGGGGCAGAGAGAGAGGGAGACACAGAAUUAGAAAUAGGCUCCAGGCUCUGAGCCAUCAGCCCAGAGCCCGACGCGGGGCUCGAACUCCCGGACCGCGAGAUGGUGACCUGGCUGAAGUAGGACGCUUAACCGACUGUGCCACCCAGGCGCCCCAUGAAUCGGGCUGGCUUCUAUAAAAUUUCUUAGUCCAUAAAAACCCUUCUUUAAUGCAGUAAGUGAAGCAAAAAAACAAAAAAAUAAAACUACCAUAUAAUAUACAGGGUGAUGUGAUUAUGAGAUUAAUGAAUUGAUGGAAUGAUCCUGGCCACCUGACUGGUUGGUAGUACCCAGAGUUGUUCUGUAAGUCACAAAUACAUCCUUGCCCUGGUGGUGCCAUGCCAUGGAGGUUGCCUGCUCUGGGGUUAAGUCUCCUUGGCGAUAAUCCUGUGUCCUUUGGCUGGCUGGGUCUUCCAGGAUUAGCUGUGGUGAUUCCAGGAAAUGUCUGGUUAAUGUUCAUUUUUGAACAUCAGCCUGAUCGUUCAAUAUUGGAGAAUAUUAGGGGCACAGGGAAUUACCUGCCACUUUUCUUGAUUGCUUGGCUUCUCUUUCACCGUACUUCCUCUUUCUUCUAUAAAAGCUGAAAUAUUUGAAAACACGUGAUGAGUGGGAAGAUGGGAGCCAAUUGCCAAGCUCUUUAUAUCUGAAAACAAAUAAUUAUGGGGAGUUCUCUGUAGAUUUUAUAGGUCUUUCCUCAUUUGGCCUCAGAAUUAAUUUUCAAUUAUCAUUCCCUGCCAUUGCAUUCUCCCUAACCCCUAUCCUGAAAACACACACACACACACACACAGACACACACACACACACACAUCCAGACCUAUUCCAGUCCAUUCCCAGAAGACCUUUCUUACUCUCUGUUCUCUUAAGUUACCAUGACGAUCCAGAUUUAAAAUGCUUUUUCCCUUUUUGUCCAGUUGGAGACCUAUAUUUUUAAAUGAUCACAUCCCACUAUGAAGCCUUUGAGUCAUUCCACAAAUAUAUUUCAGACACUGUGGUGGUUGAUGCUGUUGACAGAAAAUGAGUGUAGGAAAGUGAGGCCAUCAUAAGGCCUACAGUCUGGUGUGGGGGACAGAAGUUAAUGGAGUCCAUAUGGAGUAUAAGUGUGGGACAGGGAAAUUCUUGGCAUUGGGGGAUCAUAGCUGCCACCAUCCAUUUUCUCAUAACACCCUGAACGUACCUCUCUGUACUUUCGGCCUCUGUCAUCAGGCUCUGAGUCACCUCAAGUCAGAUACUGUGUCUUGAACUUGAUGCCAAGCACCUAGCACGGUGACAGACAGAUAGUAGAUGGUUAUACUUUUUUGUUAAUUGAGUUAAUGAAUCUUGAAAUGCAGCAUAACCUAUGCAAUUAUUUAUGGUAUAAACAUGGUAAGAGGGGAAAAAAGUGUUUUCAAAGUUGUGGAAACUUUUACAGAAUAGAGCCCCACUCAGUAUUUGUGCUCCUUGUAAGGAAUCCUCUCAGAGCUCCCUGAGGCAGAUCUAGAGAGGCUGUCCUGUGCUAAGGAUACAGAAGAGUCACAGAAAAGACAAGUAGCUAGGUCACACAGUGAUGGUGUGAGAUGCUAGCUUGGGGGGUCUCUGAGUCAGGAAGGAAAGAGGGACUAUGCCUGGCUGGGGCAUAGUAUUUUCGGGUUUAGCCCUGUGACUCGGUUAUCAGAGGGCUGUUUGUGUGUGCUUGCUGGAUCCCCAGGCCAGCAACACAAUUCUGUUAUUUGUCUUGGGUCUGUAAGGUCAUGAAAUAGUGAUUUUCAAAAAAUACUUAAACCUCCUCCCUUCUGGACAGCGCUGGGAAAUCCCUGAAAAGUGCUUCCUUUUUGGGACCCUGUUUAUCUUUUAUCUGGGAGGACUCUUAAAGGUCAACCAGAUAUGGAAAUAUUUUUCAGAUACUGCAACUUUCUUAAAGUAAUAAGAUGGGAAAGAUUUUGAUGGACAAAAAUAAUUAAUUUCAAAACAUCUCAAUUCUUAAUCUUUUGCUGAAUGGAUUUCAUGUCCCCUGUGUAUCUUUUACUGGGGGGAAGAGAGAAAAAAACCUAAAAUCAUUUUCAUAUUCAAAGUUCUGUUUUUUCAUCCUUAGUCAAAUCCAUCUUCUGUCCUUGGCAGUGUGGUUUGGAUUGGAGGUAAGUUUCCUCUCAGCCCUGGAGCACGGAGACAGACAGCAUGUGUGUAUCAUGCUAUCAUGCUCUACAUUUACUCACUUUCUUGCAAUGUAGGUGACAAUGAUGCCUAUUUGCCUUUUUUUCUCCACCUAUAAAUGUACCAUCUUUAUUUAAUUCAGUAUGGAUAAAUGAUUGGUACUUUCUAAUUUUUAUCAGUGUGUGAAUCCCUGUGAUGGAUAUCUUUAUUUUUAUUUUAUUUUGUUUAUUUAUUUAUUUAUUUAUUUAUUUAUUUAUUUAUUUAUUUAUUUAUAAAUUUACAUCCAAGUUGGUUAGCAUAUAGUGCAAUAAUGAUUUCAAGAGUAGAUUCCAGUAGUUCAUUCCCUAUGUAUAACACCCAGUGCUCAACCCAACAAGUGGCUUCCUUAAUGCCCCUUACCCAUUUAGUGCAUACCCCCACCCACAACUCCUCCAGCAUCCCUCAGUUUGUUCUUUGUAUUUAAGAAUCUCUUAUGUUUUGUCCCCCUCCUUGUUUUUAUAUUACUUUUGCUUCUCUGCCCUUAAGUUCAUCUGUUUUGUAUCUUAAAUAUGAGUGAAGUCAUAUGAUAUUUGUCUUUCUCUAACUAAUUUCGCUUACCAUAAUACCCUCUAGUUCCAUCCACAUAGUUGCAAGUGGCAAGAUUUCAUUCUUUUUGAUUGCCGAGUAAUACUCCAUUGUGUGUGUGUGUGUGUGUGUGUAUACAUACAUAUCUCAUAUAUAUCUCAUAUAUACGUACAUACAUAUCUUACAUCUUCUUUAUCCAUUCAUCUGUCAAUGGACAUUUGGGCUCUUUCCUUACUUUGGCCAUUGUCUAUAGUGGUGCUAUAAACAUUGGGGUGCAUGUGCCCCUUUGAAACAGCAUACCUAUAUCCCUUGGAUAAAUACCUAGUAGUGCAAUUGCUGGGUCAUAGGGUAGUUCUAUUUUUAAUUUUUUGAGAAACCUCCACACUGUUUUCCAGAGUGGCUGUACCAGUUUGAAUUCCAGUUUUCCAGAGUGGCUGUACCACUAGUUUGCAUUUCCACCAGCAGUGCAAGAGAUCCUCUUUCUCUGCAUCCUCAUCAACAUCUGUUGUUGCUUGAGUUGUUAAUUUUAGCCAUUCUGAUCAGUGUGAAGUGGUAUCUCAUUGUGGUUUUGAUUUGUAUUUCCCUUAUGAUGAGUCAUGUUGAGCAUUUUUCAUGUGUCUGUUAGUCAUCUGGAUGUCUUUUUUUUUUAAUGCUUAUUUAUUUUUGAGAGAGAGAGAGAUGGAUAGAGCAUGAGCAGGGGAGGGGCAGAGAGAUAGGGAGACACAGAAUCUGAAGCAACCUCCAGGCUCUGAGCUGUCAGCACAGAACCUCAUGUGGGGCUCGAACCCACAAGCAGUGAGAUCAUGAUCUGAGCCAAAGUCAGACGCUUAACCAACUGAGCCACUCAGGUGUCCCACCUGUAUGUCUUCUUUGGAAAAGUGUCUAUUCCUGUCUUUUGCCCAUUUCUUCACUGCAUUAUUUGUUUUUUGGGUGUUGAGUUUGAUAAGUUCUUUAUAGAUUUUGGAUACUAACCCUUUAUCUGAUAUGUCAUUUGCAAAUAUCUUCUCCCUUUCCAUUGGUUGCCUUUUAGUUUUGCUGAUUGUUUCCUUUGCUGUGCAGAAGCUUUUUAUUUUGAUGAGGUCCCAAUAGUUAAUUUUUGCUUUUGUUUCCGUUGCCUCCAGAGAUGUUUUGAUUAAGAAGUUGCUGUGGCCCAGGUCAAAGAGGUUUUUGCCUGCUUUCUCCUCAAGGAUUUUGAUGGCUUCCUGUCUUAUGUUUAGGUCUUUCAUCCAUUUUGCAUUGAUUUUUGUGUAUAGUGUAAGAAGUGGUACAGUUUCAUUUUUCUGUAUGUUGCUGUCCAGUUUUUUCACCACCAUUUGCUGAAGAGACUGUCUUUAUUCCAUUGGAUAUUCUUUCCUGCUUUGUCAAACAUUAGUUGACCAUACAUUUGUGGUCCAUUUCUGGGUUCUCUAUUCUGUUCCAUUGAUCUGAGGGUCUAUUUUUGUGCCAGUACCAGACUGUCUUGAUGAUUACAGUUUUGUAAUACAUCUUGAAGUCUGGCAUUGUGAUGCCUCCAGCUUUGGUUUUCUUUUUCAGGAUUGCUUUGGCUAUUCGGGGUCUUUUCUGGUUCCAUACAAAUUUUAGGAUUAUUUGUUCUAGCUCUGUGAAAAAUGCUGGUGUUAUUUUGAUAGGGAUUGCAUUGAAUAUGUAGAUUGCUUUGGGUAGUAUUGACAUUUUAACAAUGUUUGUCCUUUCAAUCCAUGAGCAUGGAAUAUUGUUCAAUUUUUUGUGUCUUCUUCAAUUUCUUUCAUAAGCUUUCUAUAGUUUUCAGUGUAUAGAGUUUUCACGUCUUUGGUUAGGUUUAUUCCUAGAUAUUUUAUGGUUUUUGGUGCAAUUGUAAAUGGGAUCAAUUCCUUUAUUUCUCUUUCUGUUGCUUUAUUAUUGGUGUAUAGAAAUGCAAAUGAUUUCUGUGGGUUGAUUUUAUACCCUGUGACUUUGCUGAAUUCAUUGAUCAGUUUUAUCAGUUUUUUGGUGGAAUCAUUUGGGUUUUCUGUAGAGUAUCAUGUCAUCUGCGUAGAGUGAAAGUUUGACUUCCUCCUUGCUAAUUUAGAUGCCUUUUAUUAUUUGUGUUGCCUGAUUGCUGAGGCUAGGACUUCCAAUACUAUGUUGAAUAACAGUCGCAAGAGUGGACAUCCUUGUUGUGUUCCUGACCAUAGGGGGAAAGCUCUGGUUUUCCCCAUUGAGGAUGAUAAUCGCAGUGGGUCUUUCAUAUAUGGCUUUUAUGAUCUUGAGUUAUGAUCCUUUUAUCCCUACUUUCUUGAGGGUUUUUAUCAAGAAAGGAUGCUAUAUUUUGUCAAAUGCUUUCUCUACAUCUGUUGAGAGGAUCAUGUGGUUGUUGUCCUUUCUUUUAUUGGUGUGAUUUAUACCAAUGAUUGUGGAUAUUGAACCAGCUCUGCAUCCCAGGUAUAAAUCCCACUUGGUCAUGGUGAAUAAUUGUUUUAAUGUACUGUUGGAACUGGUUGGCUAGUAUCUUGUUGAGGAUUUUUGCAUCCAUGUUCAUCAGGGAAAUUGGUCUGUAGUUAUCCUUUUUAGUGGGGUCUUUGUCUGGUUUUUGGAAUCAAGGCAAUGCUGACUUCAUAGAAUGAGUUUGGAAGUUUUCCUUCCAUUUCUGUUUUUUGGAACAGCUUCAAAAGAAUAGGUAUUAACUCUCCUUUAAAUGUUAGGUAGAAUUCCCUUGGAAAGCCAUCUGGCCCUGGGCUCUUGUUUUAUUGGAAGAUUUUUGAUUACUAAUUCUAUUUAUUUACUGGUUAUGAGUCUGUUCAAAUUUUCUAUUUCUUCUUGUUUUAGUUUUGGUAGUUUUAUGUUUCUAGGAAUUUGUCCAUUUCUUCCAGAUUGCCCAAUUUAUUGGUGUAUAAUUGCUCAUAAUAUUCUCUUGUUGUUGUUUGUAUUUCUGCAGUGUUAGUUGUGAUCACUUCUAUUUCAGUCUUGAUUUUAUUUAUUUGGGUCCUUUCCUUUUUCUUUUUGAUCAAACUGGCUAGGAGUUUUUCAUUUUUGUUAAUUCUUUCCAAGAACCAGCUCCUGGUUUCAUUGAUCUGUCAUACUGUUGUUUGGUUUCUAUAGUAAUGAAUUCUGCUCUAGUCUUUAUUAUUUCCUGUCUUCUGCUGUUUUGGGGUUUUAUUUACUGUUCUUUUUCCAGUUCUUUAAGGUGUAAAGUUAGGUUGUGUAUCUGAGAUCUUUCUUCCUUCUUUAGGAAGGCCUGGAUUGCUACAGACUUUCCUCUUAUGACCACCUCUGCUGGGUCUCCGAGAUUUUGGACUGUGGUAUUAUCAUUUUCAUUGGCUUCCAUGUACUUUUUAAGUUCCUCUCUAACUUUCUGGUUAGCUCAUUCAUUCUUUAGUAAGAUGUUCUUUGGUCUCCAAGUAUUUGUUGUCUUUCCAAAUUUUUUCUUGUGGUUCAUUUUGAGUUUCAUAGCGUUGUGAUCUGAAAAUAUGUAUGGCAUGAUCUCCAUCUUGUGUACUUGUUGAGGGCUAAUUUGUGUCCCAUUAUGUGAUCUCUUCUGGAGAAUGUUCCAUGUGCAGUGGAGAAGAAUGUGUAUUCUGCUGCUUUAGGAUGAAAUGUUCUGAAUAUAUCUGUUAAGUCAAUCUGGUCCAGUGUGUCAUUCAAAGCCAUUGUUUCCUUGCUGAUUUUCUUUUUAGAUGAUCUGUCCAUCGUUGUAAGUGGGGUGUUGAAGUCCCCUACUAUUAUCGUAUUGUUAUCAAUGAGUUUCUGUAUGUUUGUGAUUGAUUUAUACAUCUGGGUGCCUCCAUCUUUGGAGCAUAAAUGUUUGCAAUUGUUAUAUCUUCUUGGUGGAUAGACCCCUUAAUUAUGAUAUAAUGCCCUUUUCUUCAUCUCUUGGUACAGUCUUUAUUUUAAAAUCUAGAUUGUCCGGGGCGCCUGGGUGGCGCAGUCGGUUAAGCGUCCGACUUCGGCCAGGUCACGAUCUCGCGGUCCGUGAGUUCGAGCCCCGCGUCGGGCUCUGGGCUGAUGGCUCGGAGCCUGGAGCCUGUUUCCGAUUCUGUGUCUCCCUCUCUCUCUGCCCCUCCCCCGUUCAUGCUCUGUCUCUCUCUGUCCCAAAAAUAAAUAAACGUUGAAAAAAAAAUUAAAAAAAAAUAAAAAUAAAAUCUAGAUUGUCUGAUAUAAGUAUGGCUACUCAGGCUUUCUUUUGGUGACCAUUAGCAUGAUAGAUGGUUCUCCAUCCACUUACUUUCAAUCUGAAGGUGUCUUUUGGUCUAAAAUGUGUCUCUUGUAAACAGCAUAUAGAUAGAUCUUGAUUUCUUUUCCAUUUUUUGACUGGAGCAUUGAGUCCAUUGACGUUUAGAGUGAAUACUGAAAGAUAUGAAUUUAUUGCCAUUAUGUUGCUUGUAGAGUUGGAGCUUCUGUUGGUGUUCUCUGGUCCUUUCUAAUCUUUGUUGCUUUUGGUAUGUAUGUAUGUAUGUAUGUAUUUAUAUUUUCAUCUUUUCUCCCCUCAGAGAGUGGCCCUUAAAAUUUCUUACAGGGCUGGUUUAGUGGUCACAAACUCCUUUAAUUUUUGUUUGUCUGGGAAACUUUUUAUCUCUCCUUCUAUUUUGAAUGACAGUCUUGCUGGAUAAAGAAUUCUUGGCUGCAUGUUUUUCCAAUUCAGCACAUUAAAUAUGCCUUGCCACUCCUUUCUGGCCUGCCAAGUUUCUGUGGAUAGAUCUGCUAUGAACCUGAUCUGUCUUCUCUUAUAGGUUAAGGACUUUUUUUUCCUUUGAUGCUUUCAUAAUUCUUUCCUUGUCUGAGUAUUUUGUGAAUUUGACUAUGAUAUGCCUUGUUGAUAGUCAAUUUUUGUUGAAUCUAAUGGUAGUUCUCUGUGUUUCAUGGAUUUUGAUGUCUGUGUCUUUCCCCAGGCUAGGAAAGUUUUCCAUUGUGAUUUGCUCACAUAAACCUUCUACCCCUUUUUCUCUGUCUUCAUCGUCUGGGACUCCUUUGAUUUGGAUGUUAUUCCUUUUUAAUGCGUCAGAACUCAUUGUAGUUCUCUAAUUCUUAUAUUGUGCUCAUUUGCCUUAGUUUCCCUCUUUGUUUCUGCUUCAUUAUUCUCCAUAAGUUUGUCCUGUAUAUCGCUGAUUCGCUGCUCUGCUUCAUCCAUCCUUGAUGCCAUGGCAUCAAUUUGAGAUUACAUCUCAGUUAUAGCAUUUUUAAUUUUGUCCUCACUAGAUUGUACUUUUCUUAUCUCUGCAGAGGGGAAUUCUAUGCUUUUUUCAACCCCAGCUUAGUAUUAUUAUUAUUAUUGUGAUUCUAAAUUCUGGUUCAGACAUAUUGCUUGUAUCUGUGUUAAGUCACUGGCUGUCAUUUCUUCCUGUUCUUUCUUUUGAGGUGAAUUCCUUUGUUUUGUCAUUUUCAAGGAAGAAAAAGAAUUAAUGAAAUAAAAAAUAAAUGAAAAUAAAUAAAUAAAAUUUAAAAAUUAACAACAACACAAAAAAAAAUCAAAUAAAGGAUGCUAGAUCUUAGGUGUGUUUUGGUCUGGUUGUUGAAAAAAGCUUGAUAGAAUAGAGAAAAAAGGGGAAGAAAAGGGAAAAAAAAGAAAAGGAAAACGUUUGAAAAUUUAAAAAAAUGAAUACAGUAAAAUAGAAUAAAAUGAAAUGAAAGUAAAAUAGAAUUUUAAAAAAAUUUCCAAAAACGUAAAAAAAUAUAUUAGGAAAAAAAUUUAAAAUCUUUUUUAUAAAAACGGAAAAUAAAAACAUUUUUUUCUCUUUCUGUAUUCAAGAAUAAGAAAAAAAAAGAAAAAAAUUGAAUAGAUGGACCAGUGAACAGAAUGAAAUAUGAUUGAAAUUACAUCCAGUUUCCCCUAGAAGUCAAACUAUGAUGCACUUUAUAGUCUGUAAACUACACAGGCGGAGAGACUUCUGGUGUUCCUCUAGAGCAUGGUUCAUGCUCCAUUCUCCACUAGAUGGUGCUGCUUAGUUUACUGGAGUGGAAUGUGUGGCAUGUGUAGGCGUGUAUGCACAUGCGUGGGAGGGGUGAAAAUGGCGUUACCCAGCUAGCCAGUCUCUAGUAUCAGAACUCUGUGCUCCCCCCCACAGGUAAUCAACCACCCCUUUUUGUUUCUGCUUCUGUCCAUUACCAGACCAUUAGCCUGUCAGGUGGCACUUCCCUCCUAUUAUCUCAGAUGGAGCUGUGUUUCUAAACCCUUCACUUCUGAGGACCCUGUUGCUUUGACUUGCUCUGAUCCUUUGGGGGAGGGUCUUGCUGAUCAAUGGCUGGGUACCAGCCAGUCCCCAGAAAUGUUUGCACAACUGUGCUGCUGCACAUGCCCAGAGACUGUGGCCAGGUGCCAUCUAGCCCCAGAAAAAGUUCACGGGAUCAUGUAGCAGCAGCAUUGCAAAGAUUAUGGUAAAUCACAACACAUAUCUGGUGCCCAGCUUCACCCUUAAUGGCCUUCUUCCAACACCAGCAAACGUGGCUGUUCUCUGGGGUUUGCUGGGACCUCUUCCUGUGGGGAGGCCGCACAGCCUCUACCAAAUGUCCUCUCAGCAGAGGAACUGCCUCUCCCCGUGUGGCCUGAGGCCCCCUUAGACUUGGCUGUCUGCUCCUGGGGAUUCACCCUUCCCACCAGAGCCCCUCCAGGUAUCUGCAGAGUUUCAGAUUCUGCGCUCUGCUGUUUAUAGAGACUUAAUGGAAUUUAAACCCUCUCCUUUCUCCUUUCUCCCUUCUCCCUUUCUUAUUAAGUCUCUUAUGGCUGUUUCCACUCUUUAUCUUUCUCUCCAGCUGCUUUCUGCGGGGGGUGGGGGGUGGGGGGUGGGGAGUGCUUUUUCUGUACUCUCCACCUGUCUUCAUCCUCUCUCUGCAAGCAACUACCCUUGCAGCUUCUCUCUCUCCCAGUUCUCCUCUCCGCACCCUAUACCUGCUGAGUUCUGUGGUUCCAGUUGUGCAGAUUGUUGUGUUAAUCCUCAGAUCAGUUUUUUAGGUGUGCAAGAUGGUUUGGUGUUGAUCUAGCUGCAUUUCAGGGAUGAGAGAGGCAAAAAAAACUUCCAUGCUGCUCCGCCAUCUUGGCCCUGAGUCCCAGUGAUGCAUAUUUGUUGUCUUAAGAUUGAGGACUCUACAAUUCUGAGCUCAGGAAAAAAGUGUUACCAUUCUUAAGACUGUUAAGGCUAACAUUAAACCCUUUCCUACACUCCCUUUUGAAUGUGAUGAUGGAUGGGAUCAAUAGCUUGGAUUUGGCCUCCAUCAACUUAAUAUACAUAUUACUCAAAUAUAUAAAAGUAUAAAAUAUAUUUGAAUACAUUUUUAAGCUUUAUAGUUAUAUAGUUAUAUGAUAUAACUUCAGGAUGGAAGGAUAACUCCCUUUGGCCAACAAUACCUUUUCUCACCAGAACCUUUUCCCCAAAGGCUGGAAUAUUAGUUGAUGAUCCUCUUAACUUGGAGAAAUACUUUUUUUUUUUUUAAUUUUUUUUUUCAACGUUUUUAUUUAUUUUUGGGACAGACAGAGACAGAGCACGAACGGGGGAGGGGCAGAGAGAGAGGGAGACACAGAAUCGGAAACAGGCUCCAGGCUCCGAGCCAUCAGCCCAGAGCCUGACGCGGGGCUCGAACUCACAGACCGUGAGAUCGUGACCUGGCUGAAGUUGGACGCUUAACCGACUGCGCCACCCAGGCGCCCCAGAGAAAUACUUUUUUUUAAGUUUAUUUUAUUUGGUUUGAGAGAGAGCAAGCGAGUUCAUGAGCAAGAAAGGGGCAGAGAGACAGGGAGAGAGAGAAUCCCAAGCAAGCUCCAUGCACUGUCAGCACGGAACCCCAUGGGGGGGGCUGGAUUUCAAGAGUCAUGAGAUCAUGACCUGAGCUGAAAUCAAGGGUCCCAUGCUUAACCAACUGAGCCACCCAGGUGCCCCUUGGAGAAAAAAAAAUGUUAAGUUUAUUUAUGCACCUUGACAGAGAGAGAGAGAGAGAGAGAGAGAGAGAGAGAGAGAGAAUCUCAAGCAGAUGCAUUGUCAGCAAGGAACAUGAUACAGGCCUCGAACUCACAAGCCAUGAGAUCAUGACCUGACCUGAAGCUGGACGCUUAUACAACUGAGCCAGCCAGGUACCCUGAGAAAUACUUUUAAAUUGGAAGAUCCAUGGGGGUAUUUCUUUAUGCAGGUUCUCAAAAGAGAAAAAAACACAAUUCCUUCCAAAACUAAUAUGGAAAGUUUAUGUCUCUCUAUAUUUGCCACUCUAUUCUCUCUAUUUGAUCUGUGGGAACAAUAGCACUUUGUACUCAACACUAAGAUGUACUGAUGAAUAUUUUACAUUUAUCAGCAUAAAAACACAGAGGUAAAAACUCUCUUAUCUAUCCCUGAGGGGUUCUUCCAGUUAGAUGUGUUAUUUUGGGGGGUAAACUAUGCUCAUUUUUCAGUAAUCUAAUUUUGGUUUCCUGUUUUUGUUAGGAAAAAGAAACAGUAUAUAUGAUAUUUAAGCCAGAUAAAUUAAAAACAGGGUAUAUAGGGGCUUCUGGGUGGCUCAGUUGGUUAAGCAUCCAGCUUUAGCUCAGGUCAUGAUCUCACAAUUUGUGGGUUUGAGCCCUGCGUUGGGCUCUGUUUUGACAGCUCAGAGGCUGGAGUCUGCUUAAGAUUCUGUGUCUUCCUGUCUCUCUUCCCCUCCCCUGCUUGCACUUCGUCUCCCUCCCCUGCCUCUCAGAAAUCAACAUUAAAAAAAAAAAAUUUAAAACAGGGUUUAUAGACAGAUCCAAACACCAGACCUGGGGCUGCCCUAUGCAUAGGAAGACACAAUAUCAUUCUGCCUGCUGACGGCAAUACCCAUCUGGCCAUGGUAAGCCCUAAGCAGUGAGUCUGAGUGUCUGUGGAUUCCAGCCUGAGCUCAUUUCUCUAAUUCCAUCCACAAGCCAGCAUUCGGGGACUUUCCAACUUUGGGUUAUUACAAAUAGUGCUCGAUGAAUACCAUUGCAUGUCUUUUUGUGAACAUGUAUAUGCAUUUCUACUGGGUAUCGAAUUGCUGGUAAGGACAUGUUUUGAUGAAGCUAAGAAGAGAGUGUGCCAAAAAUAUAAGGACAUUAUUCUUUAUUCUGAAGGGAGGGGCUUGUUGAAGACUCAGUAAUCAUUGAACAAGAGUAUUAGAAAAGAGGGUAGGGAUUGAUCUAGGCAGUGUUUCUCAAAUACUAAUGUGUCUAAAAAUUGUUAUAGGUUGAGUUGUGUUCUCCGAAGUUCAUAUGUUGAAGUCCUUACCCUCCUGUACUCAGAAUGUGACUGUUAUUUGGAGAUGGGGUCUUUAAAGAAGUGGUUAAGUGAAAAGGAGGUAUUUAGGGUGGGCCUUAACCCCACACGGUUGAUGUCCUUAUAAGAAGAGGAGAUUUGGACAUAGACACAGAGGAAGAACCAUGUGAAGACCCAGAGAGAAGAUGGCCAUCUACAGGCCAAGGAGAGAGGCCUCAGAAGAAACCAACUUUGUUGACACCUUGAUCUUAGAUUUCUAACCUCCAGAAUUACAAGAAAAUAAAAUUUCUGUUGUUCAAGCCACUCAAUCUGUGCUACCUUGUUAUGGCUAUCCUCGCAAUCUUGUUUAAAUGCAGACUCUGUUCAGUAGGUGUGGGUGUGGACUCAAGGUUUUUAUUUCUAACAAGAUUGCACAUAAUACAGAUGCUGCUGGCCCAUGGACCACACUGUGGUAGCAAGGAUCUAAACUACAAGUGAGGAACUUCUCUUAGGAGGAGAGACCUUUCUCUCUAACAGGAAAGGAAGAGAGUUCAGGACGGAAGAGUAAACUUGUAUGUGGGAGGUAGAGGAUCAGGGGCAAACUGGCUCAGCGGAUCCAAAAAGGAUGCGUAUGUGUUGGGUGGGGGAGGGAGAGGCCCUGAAUAAUGAUGUUUGCUGGUUCCUGUGGUAUAAAUACUCUCUCCGUGGCUGACUUUAAUUACCAAGAUUUUGGGGCGCCUGGGUGGCGCAGUCGGUUAAGCGUCCGACUUCAGCCAGGUCACGAUCUCGCGGUCCAUGAGUUCGAGCCCUGCGUCAGGUUCUGGGCUGAUGGCUCAGAGCCUGGAGCCUGUUUCCGAUUCUGUGUCUCCCUCUCUCUCUGCCCCUCCCCCAUUCAUGCUCUGUCUCUCUCUGUCCCAAAAAUAAAUAAACGUUGAAAAAAAAAUUUAUAAUUACCAAGAUUUUAACAACUGGCUUGCAAAGUUCCUGGAAGUUUGACAAUGGCCUCUUGCCACAGGUAGGGCCAGCUCCAGCUCACGUCUGUCCUGGAUGCUGCGAGGGGCCUGCCUGAUUUCCCUGCCUUCUCUCAUGGGACCAGAAUGUGCUUCUCUUGUGGGGACACAGGUAAGAUCUGUCAUGGCUACUUGAAGAAAAUUAGUAGAGACUGGAACUAGAGCUGAUGUCCCAUGAGUUGUCAUUGAAGAGGAGCGCUCACUGGAGCUCUGGGUAAGGGGAGGAGCAGAUACAAGUCGAAGCCCCUGUAUCUCCUUUCCUCCCUCCCUGUGGACACUCAGAAUGAGUGACAGCUCCUAGGGGCCAGGCUGACUCCAGGGCAGGCAGCUAGCUUGCAAGUGAGGGCAAAUGGGAGAGGCCGGAAGUUAUGCUUCUGUAAUUCCCAUUUCCGCUCUCAGCUCUCAGGAAGAGCCCACCCUUCAGGAAGAGCCCACCCUUCCUGCACAGAUAAUCUUUGAUUUUCUCCUCUUCCAUAGUUAGAGAGAGCUGAGCUACGAUCUUUGUCUCUCCUUUGUCAGACUGCCCUCUGACUCACAGUAAUGUGAGUAAAUGUAACAAUUGAUUAUAAGAAUUUUGAAAUUAGGUAUUUCAGAUUAAAUAUUUUAAAUGAGUUUAGGGAAAAACAGUUCUUUUUGAAAAACUCUGCUGGCCUUAGUUGUUUUGUAGCUGUUUUACUCUUGUGUCCCUAGGACAGGGAAAACAUGAGAAUUUGGGAAGAGUUUUGGUGUGUUUAUAAGAAGAAAAAAUCUGUGCAUUGUCUUGGACCAGAACUUCCCACGUAGUUACACCGGGGGUGUGGGUGCUGGGAGACAGGUGGGGGAUAAUACAUGUGUGCGUGGGCACAUUAUGUUGUCUGGAUUCUAGGAUUUAACUCUGUUUUUCCAGGUUGAAAAAACACUAACAUCUGAGAAGUUCAGAUCCUGGAUAAAUCCAAAAAAGCUGACUAAAGAAAGUUCAAUUUCUCCUCCACAGAUUAAAGCUGGAGGAGACUUACAGCUUGGAGUCUUUUUUUUUUGAAGUUUAGGACUGGUGUGUUUAAGGAAGCCAAGGCCAACUUUCCUGGAAUGUUAAUGAGAAGUGUGUGUCCAAGGUCAUGCACAGAAACCUUGCAAGGGGACUAGUGAAGAAGGCACAGAGGCAGUGUCUGUGCUCAGGACUGCCUGGGCCACAGAACAGAACCCAGACUUCACGGACGGUCCUUUUCUUCUCUUCCUCCGGCACCACAAAACUGGCAGCAUUUUGUUCUGUAGUGGGUUCUCUUCUCCAUAAAAAGGCACAGUUGCUGGCCAUGUCCUCCCUUCCCCUUCUGCCUACCUUGCCUUGAUUUAAAUCUUGAGUGACCAAAUCAGUGUAGCAAUUUGCAUGGCAAAAUAAAAUGUGUGCACUUGGGUGGUUUGUGAAUGUUCGUUGGGAACAUUCCACAGCUGCUUGAAUAACUGAGGCUUUGGAUGUGUGAUGUUUGGGGCUGAUGCUUGUUUUGCAAUAUUUGAGGUGUCCUUGAGUGGUUCUGCCCUCCCUCUAUAAUCUGGGAUGGCUCCCCUCUCAGACUGUGCUUACUAUUUGUGGGUGUUUUUGGAGCAUCUCAGGGAUCCAUGGACCAGUCCUCUGCUCUUCUGUCCUGGGAUCACAUCAGAGCUCUGCUGCUCACUCCUGCCAACCUCCUCAGGAAAUGCCAGUGCCCAGGCCCUGUGGCUCACAAAGCCAGAGAUCUUGUCAUGUUAACCCUGCAGCCACCCAGGGUCUGUCUCUUCAACAAUUGAGGCAGUAUCCUUCAGUGUCUUCUUUAGUGCCACACACAGCCCUACAUGUUCCAUAUCUCAGAGAGUCCCUUGUAGAAAUAACUCAGGUACACGUCCAGGCCUUAGCAAUGAGCUUUGGGACUGGGCUAGGAGGUGGUACUCUGAAGCAGAAGCCUGCAGCCCUCUCCAUCUCUGUCCCUGGAAGCACACACCAAACUCUGCCUAGUUCUCCUGAAGCCCCCAAGGAAACCCUCACAUACUCACCAGCUCCUGGGAACAAUGGCCCGUGUUUAUCACACAUGCUCUGAUGUGGCUCAGGCGUAUCUCUUGCUAAAGAAAAGAUCUCCCUACAUUAAUGUAUAUUUUGAUUACAAAAGAAUAUGUGUCGUGGCAGAAAUUUGGACUAUAGAAAAUAUGAAUAAAAUUUAAGUUGUCCACAGAUCUGUGGCCACGCACUGAAGAAGUUCUCAGACAGAUGUGAGCGGACAUGCAGGGCUGACUCUGGGAGACAGCAGCAGCCACAGCAGCCUGCACACAGCCUUUAUUUCCUAUCUCAUUCGAUAGAAGUAUCAAAGAAGAUCACAGCAUGGAAAGAGGGCACAGAGGAUCUUUAGACAUUAACCAGACAUGCACCUGGUGGCUACAUGAAGGCAGGCAGGGAGCACAUCUAGUUUCAAGGAGUGUCAGGGAGUUAUAGCAGGUUUUGUAUCUUAACUGUCCCCUGGGGGAUCAUGAGGCUCUGUAUCUCAUAAUGCUAUUGCCUUCAACAGCCUUUAGACCAGAACCUUGCUGACAGUUCAGCUAUCCCCAUUCACCCUCCAGGACAUAUAAUACAUUCUCUAGAAAUAACUCCACACAAAUCCACACCCAGCAAUCACUACUGUUGAUGGUGAGAUGUGUAUAUUUUUAUAUAUCCCCUUCCUUGGGGAAGGUCAUUGAAAAGGCAUGACUGCCAGUUGACCUGUGAGCUGGACCCAGGCCCUCAGAGGCUCCACACACUCUCUCCCCUGUCCUGGGUAUGUGGGUUUCACUUAACCUUUCCCACUUGCAGAGACUGCUCCAAGGACACGGUUUUGAGACUGAUGUGGCGUGGAAAAUACCUGCAUGGUGUAUGUGACUGAACUCAGUUAAGGUCUCUUUAGAAACUUUUUAAGAUUUGGUGGGUGGGUGCUGGGAUCCAUUCAUCUUGUUGCCACCCAAUACAAGCCAAGCUUAAUAAAACUGCCACCUGUCUACCAACCUGGAGUGUCCUGCCUCUUUCUUCAGUCUCUCCCUGCCCUCCGAGCAUGGAGCUGGUUUCAUAUUCUUCCAAGGAAGUUCCUAGGAGGGUUUCCAA